AAGCGUUUACGCGGCAUCAACGACGGUGUAACGGCGGAGCCGAUUGGUCCUGGUGCCGCUGCUAAGUCGCUCAAAACCGUAUGUCUCAAGGAGCUUUACAACGGCCAGUUUUUUGGCCCGUUGAUUAGCGGUGCUAAGAACCUCAAAACCUUGAAACUGCUCCGAUGCUUAGGCGACUGGGAUAGCUUGAUGGAAAUGAUCGCUGUUCCAGAAAAUUCUCUUGUUGAAGUUCAUCUCGAGAGGCUUCAGGUGAGCGAUAUCGGUCUCUCGGCGUUAUCAAACUGUUCAAAACUCGAAAUCCUCCAUAUCGUCAAGACUCCAGAUUGUACUAAUGUCGGAGUUAUUUCAAUCGCUUCACAAUGUAAGUACUUAAGAAAACUUCACAUCGAUGGCUGGAAGACAAACAGAAUAGGAAACGAAGCUCUAAUCGCCAUUGCAAAAAACAGUGCAAACCUUCAAGAACUUGUUCUAAUCGGAGUUAAUCCCAGCUCAAUAAGCCUGGAAGCCAUUGCUACAAACUGUCAGAAGCUUGAAAGACUAGCCUUAUGUGGAAGUGAAACAAUAGCAGACACCGAGAUUUCUUGUAUUGCAUCAAAAUGCGUUGCUUUAAAAAAGCUUUGCAUCAAAGGCUGUCCUGUAUCCGAUGAAGGGAUCGAAGCUUUCGCAUGGGGUUGCCCUAAUUUGGUCAAAAUCAAGGUGAAGAAAUGCAGAAACGUAACAUAUGAAGUUGGUGAUUGGCUAAGAGCUAGACGUGGAUCAUUAGUAGUCAAUUUAGACGUUUGUGCAGUUGAAGCUGAAGCUAUGGAUGCAAGUGCUAGUGAUAAUGGUGUUCAAGAAGACAUGGAAAUAACCCACGUGGCAGUUGCUCAACCUCAUCCUCUAGCUACUAGCAAUAGUGUUCGAGGUUCCAUUUUCAAGACAAGAUUCGGGCUCUUUGGUGCAAGAGGUAUUGUAACUUCUACUUUUAGAAGGUUCUCAAAUGGUAAUACCAAUACCAGUUCUAAUGGAUGCUCAUAAACUGUAUCUCACUUUCUAAACAGCAUUUGAAUUGAUCAACAUUCAACACCUGUUUCUAUUUCUUUCUUUCUUUCUUUCUUCUUCUUCUUCUUCUUCUUCUUCUUCUUCUUCUCAAUUUCUGAUUUUUUAUUAAAAAACACUGUAACUUGUAGCAGAAAAAGGGCAAAUGUAGCCACAAUUUGUAAUGGGUUCUGAUGUUAAUAUAUGUUACAUUUUCUUGUACUGAUGUUGUUUUCUGAAUGUUAAUGAAAAGAUUUUUGACCCAAAGUAGUUGACUUGUUCAAUUUCUUGUGAUUUUUAUUUUACAAUUUGGUAUUGGUUUGCUAUCUGUUUUUUGGCACUUUUCUUCAUCCAUAUCAAUUCUUCAAGUCGAUUUUGGUCUCUUGUGUAACCUUGUUCUAAUUUCGUUAAUUUCUUCACUUACAACGCCACAACCUCUCAUACACUUUCGUUGAUAUCCAUUUGGUUGAUUUUUGACCAAAACAAUAUUAAAAACGGUUUGUUUUUUCGAAGAGUGUAUUUUUUCAUUUCUUUUUAUACAACAUUAUAUAAAUUCAGUUGUCACGAAAUUUAGAAAAAAGUAUAUAUACAAUCCAAACACCUAACAAACUUCAUAAAUUUGUCUGAAAACCUUUACCGCAGAAAAAGUGCUCCAUGAUUGCAAGAUGAAAUUCAUACAAAAUUAUUGUAUAUAUUUUCUUUUGAUUUCAACAUUGGUAUAAGUAGUGGGAUAACCACACAACAUACUACAUAAUAAUACUAAUCAGGUAUACUUAAAUCUAUUGGAUAACCUUUCUUGUUAAUACUCAUUUUCUUCUUCAUUCUAUUGGUUGUUUAAAACCUUAAUCCAUCUGCCUUCUUUCUUCCUUUGUUCCUUUUUAUCUAUUGCAGAAUUAGGAAAGAUGCGAUAAGGGAUACAUACACACACCCUUUAGAUAGAUUUUUGUCUUUCCUUUAUAUAUGCUCAUUGUAACACCGUAAAUUUCCAAACAAUUUUUUCAUUUAAAAAUCACAUCAAUUUCAUUAACACAACCAAAAAAAUCCCCAAAUAUCGAUUUAUCAAAAACACAUGUUCAUUAAUUGUUUAAAACACAAUCCAGGAUCCUCCAAAACAUAUCUUCAACUCGUAUGUGUACAAUCAAGCCGGUGCCUUCCCGUGAUCCUGAGAAGUACCUGAAACACAUGACACCCAACACGGUAAACAUGAAGCUUAGUGAGUUUCCCAAAAUACCGCACAUAUCUCAUUAGCCUCUUAUUGCUAUACUCAAAUAAGACCCUCCGGUCAAUGUGUCUUAGUGGGACCCUCCGGUCCCACAACUCGGGUGGACCCUCCGGUCCUAACUCAACAAGCUUAGAAUAAUACACAACAUAAAUCACAUAGACAUAAUGCAGGAUAUCACAAUACUCAAUAUAAGCACAUAGACCCUCCAGUCACACAAAAUUACCACUUAAGGUAAGUAUGGUGAGAAGACUCACCUCGUAAGAAAUUGAAUAACCUCGAGCUCAAAUCACCGGUCUAGCCUCCGCCUAACACAUACGAUAAUUAUUUCUAAUUAAUAACGGCUCUCAAAGAAGCUGGACUAACCCUUCUCCAAACUCACAGAAGGAUAAAAGACCAUUUUACCCUUCCAAGACCUUAAUAGUCCACAAAUUGACCAAACCCUAAAAGUCAACUAAAAGUCAACGGCAGCACGUACGCCGCGUGUACCAGCCCUCUAUGUUGGGUGUACUCCAUCGCCAUGCAUGCAUCGGGGAUUCUCAACCCUACGUUACACGUACUGGGAUUACACUCAGUGUACGUCCCAGUUUUGCUCUUCCUACUCAUUUGGUCUUAAUCCGUUAAGACUUUAGCUCAAAUCUCAGAUUUGGACUCCCUAAAGGCUCAUACUCCAUAAAGUCUAUAACUUUAAGCCUUUGCAUGGCUGAUAAAGUCACAAACACCAAAAGUCUCACUCUCUAUUCUCAAGAAUGCUCAUAUCUCAUGCAUUGGUUGGUUUAAAUGUCCAAGCCUCGAUUUUUAUGACUCUACACCACUAAAAACGCUCAAAAGAGCCGAUAAUAAACUCUGGACCUCAAUAUCUCAUAAAGCAUCCAACUUUGGGACCAAAACCCUACAAUGAACUAAAAUGAUGCACAAAUCAAAAGGUUGAGAAAGCUUUGAGCUUUAUACCUCUAUCUGAAGCUCCAACCACAAAUAAGCUCAGAUCCAAAGCCUGGACUCCCACUCCUUCCACUUCAAAGCUGCUUCUUCACUCCAAAGAAACCACAAGAACACUUAAAAGCUCACAAAUGGACACACAAGCUCAAGGGACGAGAAAUUAGGGUUUGAGAUGGUUGAUGUCUGGGAAUGGUGGCCAGAAAUGAGGUCAUCAUGUCCUUUAAAUAAGGACACACCCUAAAUUAGGGUUUUCACUAUGGGCCUAGUAUGCCCAACGUACUCUCUGGUACGCCAGUGUAGUAGGUGGCUUCCGUGUCAAAAACACGCACAUGAGUACGCUGAGCAUACACACGCGUACGCCCCGCGUACUCAUUUACCAUGUUUUCUCAAAUAAAGGGUCAAACUUGACAAUUACCGAAAGAACAAGGGUUGAUGAGGUAUACAUGAUCUAGGGAUGUUACAAUUCUCCCCCACUAGAAUCAAACUUUGCCCUCGAAGUCAUCUCCUGGAAUAACUCUAGGUACUGCUCGCGCAUCUCGGACUCCGGCUCCUAAGUCCACUUGGACCCCUUCCGAUGUUGCCAUUGGACCUGAACCAAGGGCACCUCUUUAUUCAUCAAGACCUUCACCUUCCUAUCUAAGAUCGCUAUCAGCCUCUCGAUGUAAUUCAUGUUGGAUUAAUGUCUAAGUCCAUAACUAUAUUUGGUAUGUACUUGACCCGACCCGGCAUGGUCCAUUUGGGUUGCACUUCACCGACACAAUUUAUAUGGAUAAUCUUUUGAGAAUAGUAUGUUUACGAUUAAUAUUAAUAUAUUAUAAGUUCUAAUAUAUUAAUAUGGAAUCGUAUUAUUUAAUUAGUAUUGAUCAAGAAUUAAUUUAUAAUUAAUUAAGUGAUCAAAAGGAACUAAUUAAAUAUGGACUCUUAUAUAUAUGGAAUGGGCCAAGUUCAUUUAGGUUGGGCUAAGCUUUCAUGGAUAGUCCAUGGAGUGUUUAACCCAUGGAUCCUAGGAAAUGAAAGGUCAUGGGUAUUAGGGUUUAACCCUAAUCCUCCAUACUAUAUAAAGAUGUCUUUGGUUGGUGAAAUUGGCACUAGUGUGGAUACACUAAAGAAGGGCUAGCCAAUUUCACUAGAGAGAACCAAGUAAUCAUAUUCUCUAAAGUAUUCCAAGGUGUCUUGGUGAUUUGUGAUUCCACUUGAGGCUUCCACACUAUUGGGGCUAAGCUCUUAAAGCUUGAAGACAUCAAGCUACAUCAAGAGGUAUGUAUUCUAUCUUGUUACAUUCAUAGUUUUUGUAUGCUAGAUUAGGAUAAUACCUUGGAUGUUCUUAUUUGCAUGUAUAAUAGAGAAAACAUAGAUCCAAGGUAUUUAGGGUUGCAUGUACACUUAGGAAGUGUUAGAAUGCUCAAAACCCAACAGUGGUAUCAGAGCCACGGGUUGUUUUCUGUUAUAUUGAUGCAAAUAUUUUAUUUUCAAAGUUGAAAAAAAAAAAAAAAAAAAACAUGAAGUUUGUCAAAUUUUAAGAUAAUUACUUGUUCUUGUGAAAAACUAAUUAUUUGUAAAAUUUGAAUAAUUUGCUUUAUGAGUUGAAUUAGGUCAAAUUUAAUAAAAGAUAAAAUAAUAUGAUUAUUUUAUUAGUUUUAAAAGUUUGAUCUAAAGAGUUUUAUUUUUUGAAACCUCCAUAAGUUAUGGAUAUGAAAAGGUUUUAAAAAAAAAAUUGAUUCAAAGUUUUUUUGGAGUUACAAAAUUUGGUGUUAAUGUUUUAAAGGAUUCCAUAACUUAAGAAUAAGUUAUGGAUCACCAAAAGUUUUUUGUGUUACCUUGUUUUAUGAGUGAAUUUAGAUUAAUGAAUAAAAUUAUGUGAUAGUUGGUUUUAAUCCAAAUUAAUCUAAGAAUUGAUUCUAAAAUGUGUUUUUGUAACUUGUCCUCAAGUUAUAUGAAAAGUCACAUUUAAGAAUCAUAAAACUCAUAAAAAUUGGCAAAGGUUACAAAAAUGAAGAGUCUAGUUCUAAUUAAAUGGUUUUAUGACUCCAUAACUUGUCCUCAAGUUAUGGAGGACCAAGAGUCUCUUCAUUUAAUAAAAUAAAAUAAAAAAAAAAAAAGUGUAACCUUAAUUAAUUCCAUAAGUUAUAAAAUAAAGAAAAGUUAAUUCUUUUAUUAGUUUAAAGUCUUCCAUAACUUGUCCUCAAGUUAUGGAACUUGAAGAGUUUUUGGAUUAAAACUACUUUAAACACAUAAGUUAUGGAAUUAAUUAGUUUUGAAUAGUUUCAAAACUUGCCCUCAAGUUUUGGAAUUUGUAAAGUUUUCACUUAUGAAUACUUUAAUUCCAAGUUAGCCCUUAGAAUUUUAAAAGUUAAAAUUCAACCCUUAUACUUUAUAAUAUUAUAAGUUAAUAAUAUAUAUAUGUAUAAGAGUAAAGUCAGUCUUACCGCUAGUACGCCUCAUUCACGAAGCCGGUCUAUAAGGUGGGUAUAAGGUUGUUGCCUAUAAAAUGGCAACUUAAUGGGUGUCCACUCUCACCCACCGCUUGCUUGACUGGUGGAGGGUCGUUAGCCGAACGGGUUUGACAGGACUAGAAUUCUCCCUUCAUUAAAAGUAUUAAUGAUAAUACUAAGUAACUAAACUCUUAAUAAUACCCAAUCUUAGUUACUUAGGAAAAAUGUGAAUAAGGUGCUAAUCCAUGAAAUUACACUUUACACUUUGUCUAAGUCGUUAGUGGAGCGUGUGUGGUUAACCGGCACACUAACUUGGACUUAACAAGGUAGGUAAAGGGUGACUUAAUAUUUAUCAUAGUAUCGAUGGAGCGUGUGUGGUUAACCGGCACAUCGAUUGAGGGGUAAUUUAUUAAGGGUACCAAGUGAUUUGCAUGGUUACUUCACACCUUGUUUUGUGAUCCUCGGCAUCCCAGUCACAAAACCUGAAGGGCACACUCGAGAUUGAAACAUGCCUUUGAACAGUUCAAUGAAUCUCAAAGAUCUAGGAGUUUCAAAACCAAUUAAAACCUAAUAAUACAUUUCGUUUAUCUUGGUGGAAAUUGGUGAAUCGUCAUUCACCUACCUUCAAAUAUUUUAUAGCUUGGAUUACGGCAUACCUCUUCUAAGUUAUAAAAUAGUUUGUUGGGUCCUAGCCUUAAUAUUUCAUAUUGGGUGUCAUAUUAAGGACUUUAAAUCAACUAUCUUGAAUAUCUCCCAAAAGAUGUCUGGUUUAGACACCUAUGAUCUUCCCAAAUCUCUUGAAACAAGGUUUCCUAAUGAAGAUGAUGUCCCAUGGAUAUCAUACUUCUUUCUCCUCCUCCAAUUAUUCUCCCUAACCCACAAGUUCUUGAAAAGUUUAAGGUCACUCAAGCCCUAUUGGCAAGGCAAGGUCUAGGUGUGAUCACAUCUUGGAGAUGUAGUCACAUAUUGACAAGCCGGGAGAGUUGGGUGUCAAAGUCUUGAGAAAGUUGGUGGUUCAAUCACUUUCUAAGUCACAUAGUGAGUUCCUUUGGGACACCUAUGAAACAGACUAUGACAAGACCCUUAAUGAUCUUAUCUAUUUGCUAAGAUCAACUUCCUAAAACUUUAUGGACAUUGACAAUGAUGACAUUGGAUAUCCAGUAAAGCAUUCUCUUCCCAAUGGAAAGGGAUCGGCCAUAGUCAACUCGGUUGACCAAAUGGUAAAGAGAAAAGCUAAGUCUGUGAUAGUCUCGUGUACCAUUAUCAAAGGGUCCAUAUGUUUAUAUUGCCAAAGGAAGGGGCAUUGGUUGCGAAGCUGCCAAAUUUACCUAAGGAUGUUAAAGUCAAUAAGUUUGACUCUACUUCAGGUAAAGUCCACUAUCUAACUCUGUUAAGUUUCUAUUCUGAGAUUCCUGAUACAUGAUGUGACUGGGUCACAUGGUGAUGUUUUAAGAAUCAAAGAAAAGUGAAGAAACUUAAAGAAAGAAUAUGCUGAAUCUGAUGGCGUAGAUGGAUUUCUAUCGCAUAGUUUGAAGAUCGGAUUCUUGAGCAACUUCUUAGGAGUUAUGAGAUAUUGCUUAGGAAUAGAUAACAACAAGUUUUCAUAUGGAUUGUAAGGAUAAGUUUUUCCGCAAAGUUUUAAAAUAAAAGAAAAUUUUUGAUUUUAUUUAUUUUAAAAUAUCCUUACAAUGGCAUUUGAGGAAAAAUUGUUGCUUAUAUGAUUCCAUUAAUAGCAAGAGUGGAAAUAUGAAAUUGAUUCUUUCAUUUGUGGUAAUGUCUAGAUUUACCAAAUAAGGAAAGAUUCUCAUCACCCAAGUUUCAAUUGGACCGGAACUUGGAAUCAUGCAAGUUGUAUAGCAUGAUGAAUGAGAACUUUCAAGUUUUGGAAAAUUAAGACUAAUUACUCGGCCACAUGGAUGUGUGAGUCAAGUAAAGGACUAAGGGAUCGAGUACACAUUCUUGUGCACUGAUUAAGUCCACCACAAAAGAUUGAUAAGACUAUUCGUCAUAGUUUACUAAAGCUCAGUAAAUAUGAUUAUACUUACAAGCUUAAGUGUAACUCUGAGACAUUGGAAAAGGUUCCAAUGUAUGGCAGAGCGAAUAAGAAGAAUCAAAUUAGGCAGAAGGAUAAAAGUUUCUCAAAUCUGAAAAGAUGGGAGAGUACUUUAGUAUCAGUUUUGUGAUCAUCUUAAUGAUUAAGAAACCAUAUCAAAAUUAGUUCUCUAAGGAAAUCUUAGUGCAUUCUUAUGACUAAGAAGAGGAACUUGAAUUGUUGAAAUGGUUAAAUCAAGAAGAUGAGUCAUACUUCGUUCCAAUACAAGUCUUAGAGUCAUACUCCAAGAUUGUAACUUGAGUGACAUGUCUUAAAGAAGGUUUAAAACACUUGUCAAAUGUAAGAGUAAAAGUUUUCUACUCUUGUACAUUUGAAAUUGGUAAGUUGUGAUGUUUUGGAUAAAACAAAGACCAACUUAGGCCAAUUGUGUGAAGUGUUUGUCUUGAUUAGAAUCCACACUAUCUCUUGGAUAUUUGACAAGGGAGUCUUAUAGGUCAAGAGGUCAGUGGGAGUCUUAAAAGUCUUGAAAGUCUCAAGAACUAAUCAAGAAUAAAACCUAAAGUUCUUCACUAGCACACAACUUGAGGUUCAUAACCUAUCGUGUUGACAUAUUCUGUGCCCAUUCCAGUUAAAGUUGGUUUUGCAUAUGAGUUCUUAGAGUUCUCAAUUUGUUGCACAACAACUUGGAAGCAAUGGUAGGCCCUUGAGCUGCCAGGUGGCAAGAAAUUAAGAUUGAGUUCAGUCCAUAUGAGUUUGGAUUUGUCAUUAUCCUUGUCUUGUGACUAUGGUUUUGACAAUUCACAUGGAUAAGAACACAUACACCAUUAAAUCUAAGUGUCAUAAGGUUUCUCUCCGAUUCAUGAAAAUGAUGGUGAGGAAACACUUUCACUAAGUAGAUUUUAGCUAGAUAGCAAUUGUGAUAUUUGCAUUCUCAAAGUCGUUAGUGGAGCGCGUGUGGUUAACCGGCACACUAAUUUGGACUUGUGAGAAGUGGCAAAAAGGUCUAAACAUUAUGAUUACGGCAUCCCUCUUCAUAAUUGUUUAGAUACACAAGUGUGCUAUCUAAGGGAAGGUGUAUGAUUUUGAUAAAGUUUUAUCAAAACAAUCUAGCAUCAGAAAUCUGAACUUUGGUAAGAAAGUCAAUGAAGUAUUGAUUUCUAGAAGUCCAGCUGAUUUCUGAGUACAUGUCAAAGCUAGUGGGAGCAUAAGUGUUAUGCUAAUAAUCAUCAUGUUAGUGGGAGCAUGAUAAUUAUGAUAAGUAUUGCAAGUUAGCAAUGUUAAUUAUAGAAAACAAAAGUUUCAAUUGGGAAAAAGUUGUUUUGCUAUAAUUAAGGGAGAGGAAAUUAUACUUCAUCUCAAAUCUAUAAGCUUAGAUCGUGAGGUUUUAAUCAUUUAGUCAAGGAUAUAUAUGAAUUUCAUGUUGGAAUGGCUCAACAUAAGGAAAUUCUGUAUAUGGGUCCAUUAUUUGCGUUCUAAAAUUCGAUUAUGAUUACGGCAUCCCUUUUCAUAAUCUGAAUUAUGAGAACUUGGCAAAUUGAAAUGGAAAUAUUAUAGCAAAAGACUGGUUUAGUCUUUAUGUAAGACAUCAUGAAUCGUGUCCCAUAUGCUUCGGAUAUAGGAUCGAUUACAUGUGCUAUAUUCAUCCGUUCUAAAAUUUUCCAAAUGCCUGGGGCAUUAAGAAGGGAAAAGGUUUAGAACUGGAUAUGACUAAAAGGAUUAAACAAUUGUCGAGGACAAUCUAAGGUUUACCAAAGAUUGGUUGCUCAAGGACAGUUGGAAGUAUAGUGAUAAUUCUGGAAGGACCAUAUUGACAUAAUCUGUAAGGAGGCAACUCUUGUUCAGAAGUGAUAGUCAAAAUGGAAUCUGGAAAUGUUUCAAAGUUAGAAUUUUCAAUCUGUUUAAGAUUAGGAAACUUAAUGCAAGAAGGAUGUUUCCAAGGAGCUGAUCUCCUUUGGAAUACUCUGUAAUGAUUGUUGUCAAGUCUUUCUGACUUUGUGCAUAAUCAUUACAAGAGGAUCAAUGCAUAUAAGUUUAGAAUCUAACAGAUUUCAGUAAAUGGCAUGAAUUUGGAAUUCUUGCAUUUGCAGUAAGGAUUUGGGAGUGUGAAAAGAGAAUCAUUGAAGUUAUGUUCAAUUGAUCUAGUUCACAAAGUAAAGAUCAUAGACAAACAUAGUAUGCAUACUUGGUGUGUGGCAUGACUAGUGUUUAAGAAAACAUAGUGUACAUGCUUGGAGCAUGGGACAACUAUUGUUUUAAAUUCAAGAAUAAAGUUGAUAGCUGAAACAGUAUACAAUGAAUAAUGUGUAAUCAUAUGGUGAUAAAUAAAAGGUGUUUUAUUUAUGUUCAAAGAUUUGAUACCAUAUUGGAUUCAAUUAUUAUUGUGUUUCACUUUGCAUGUUUUGACUUCCCGAAUAAACUAGGUUAUUCUUCCGGAAUGACUAAGUUAUUCAAACCAUCCACAGUCGGUCAUAUGUUGGAAGUAGAUAUGAAUUAAGACUGUCAUGGGUUGGCUUGUAGAGGUCUAAGGUGUUGGACAAAGGGCUACAACACUCAUGAGUGCUCAUAAGUUCUGAGUAUUGGAUUCAACCCGCGCUCAUUGGAAUCACUUCAUGGAUUUUAUCACGAGUGAUCAUGAGACGAUAAUAUCUUAUAUUCUUCAAACCUAGAGAUAUGAGUUGUUACUAUGAGUUGGUUGUACAUUGAUUGCACGAAAACGCAUUUGGUAACUCGGUGCUAUAAAACGUGCCUUUGUGUAUGAUUCAACAAGUAGUAGAACAAGCCAUAUGAGUCGAAGUUUAUCCAUUCCUUUUACCUUCGGGAUAAAAGCGAUAUCUGUGGGCCCCUCGAUGAUUUGAUGAUGACAAAUGGAAGUGCUCGGCCGGGCCAGGACUGAUUUGAUUUGUUCAAUUAGUCAGUCGUCAUAAAUCGGAAAUCGGGAAACAACAAAUGGACAGAGAGAAUGAUUAUAAUCCAUGUCUCAGUCCAUAUGAUAUCUAGAAUGGAGGAAUAUAUGAUCCCUUAUCUAAUGGACAAGUUCGUUGACAAGAUCAGAGUUCGACAGCAGCUUUAAGAGCUACGAUUGCCAGUUAGGUUUGAAGUCAUACGCAAUAAUAGUUUUAGACUUAUCCAAGUGGGAGACUGUUGGAUUAAUGUCUAAGUCCAUAACUAUAUUUGGUAUGUACUUGACCCGACCCGGCAUGGUCCAUUUGGGUUGCACUUCACCGACACAAUUUAUAUGGAUAAUCUUUUGAGAAUAGUAUGUUUAUGAUUAAUAUUAAUAUAUUAUAAGUUCUAAUAUAUUAAUAUGGAAUCAUAUUAUUUAAUUAGUAUUGAUCAAGAAUUAAUUUAUAAUUAAUUAAGUGAUCAAAAGGAACUAAUUAAAUAUGGACUCUUAUAUAUAUGGAAUGGGCCAAGUUCAUUUAGGUUGGGCUAAGCUUUCAUGGAUAGUCCAUGGAGUGUUUAACCCAUGGAUCCUAGGAAAUGAAAGGUCAUGGGUAUUAGGGUUUAACCCUAAUCCUCCAUACUAUAUAAAGAUGUCUUUGGUUGGUGAAAUUGGCACUAGUGUGGAUACACUAAAGAAGGGCUAGCCAAUUUCACUAGAGAGAACCAAGUAAUCAUAUUCUCUAAAGUAUUCCAAGGUGUCUUGGUGAUUUGUGAUUCCACUUGAGGCUUCCACACUAUUGGGGCUAAGCUCUUAAAGCUUGAAGACAUCAAGCUACAUCAAGAGGUAUGUAUUCUAUCUUGUUACAUUCAUAGUUGUUGUAUGCUAGAUUAGGAUAAUACCUUGGAUGUUCUUAUUUGCAUGUAUAAUAGAGAAAACAUAGAUCCAAGGUAUUUAGGGUUGCAUGUACACUUAGGAAGUGUUAGAAUGCUCAAAACCCAACAAUUCAGACUUGCAUCAAUCUGAAUGUCCUCUAAUGGUACCACUGUCGUCUCAUCGGCUACACACUUCCUCAAUUGAGACACGUGGAAGGUGUUAUGUAUCUGGCUCAACUCUGCAGGUAGCUCCAACCGAUAAGCUACCUUCCCCACUCUGGCAGUCACUCUAAAAGGACCAAAAUAUCUGAGACCCAAUUUUCCCCGCUUCCUAAAUCGUAUCACCCCUUUCCAUGGGGAUACCUUCAGGAGGACAAAAUCUCCUACUUGGAACUCAAGCUCGGAUCGUCGCCGGUCUGCAUAAAUCUUCUGGCGACUCUAAGUUGUCAGUAACCUCUGUCUGACCUGCUGAAUCUGCUCAUUCGUUUUGAGCACUAUCUCUGUGUCACCCAUCACUCUCUGCCCUACCUCUCCCUAACAGAUGGCAGUCCGAUAUAAGAGCUCAAAGGGAGGCAUACUAAUACUGGAAUGGUGGCUGUUGUUAUAAGAAAACUCAGCCAAGGGCAAAUAGGUGUCCCACCUUCCUCCGAAGUCCAUAACACAUGCUCGCAACAUGUCCUCCAACGUCUGAAUCGUUCUCUCAUUCUGCCCAUCAGUCUGUGGGUGAUAUGUGCUACAGAAGUGCAAUCGGGUACCCAACUCCUCAUGAAACCUCUUCCAGAACCUGGAAGUAAAACACACAUCCCGAUCUGACACUAUCAAAGUCGGCACCCCAUGCCGUGCUAUCACCUCUCUCACAUAAAUCUCGACCAAUCUCUCUGCAGAAGAGCUCUCACUGAUAGCAAGAAAGUGAGCCUUCUUUGUCAACCGGUCCACAAUCACCCAUAUCGCGUCGACACCCCGCGUGGUCCUCUGUAAUUUGGUGAUAAAAUCCAUGGAAAUCUGCUCCCACUUCCACUGGGGAAUCUCUAGAGGCUGUAACGGGCCAUGUGGAUGUUGGUGCUUUGCCUUAACCCGGCUACAGGUCAGGCACCUCUCAACUACCCAUGUCACGUCCCUCUUCAUACAGGGCCACCAAUAAUCUCUCUUCAAAUCUAAAUACAUCUUAGUGGCUCCUGGAUGGAUCAAGAAUCUCGGCCUAUCUGCCUCCUCCAUCAGUAUACGCCAAGCUCUACCUGUAUAGGGCACCCAAAUCCGCCCACGGAAAGUCAUAAGCCCCCGACUAUCCGUCUCAAACUCGAAAACCUAUCUGAUCACUCGCUCUCUCUUGAGGUUCUCGGGCCUCACAGCCUCCACCUGAGCCUCUCGGAUGGUAUCUAGGAUUGGAGUCAUCACCGUCAUCCUCAUAUACACGUCUCGAAUCGGAGCACUCUCUGCUCUGUGGUUCAAGGCAUCGGCUACCACAUUAGCCUUGUCGGGGUGAUAUAAUAUCUCGCGGUCGUAGUCUUUCACUACAUCCAACCACCCCCUCUGUCUCAUAUUCAGGUUGGGAUGAUCCAUGAGGUACUUCAGACUCUUGUGGUCCGUGCAUAUGGUACACCAGACUACAUACAGAUAGUGGCGCUAGAUCUUGAGGGCGAACACCGCCGCCCCCAACUUCAAAUCGUGGGUUGGAUACCUCGUCUCAUGAGGCUUCAACUGCCUCGAUGCAUAAGUUAUCACAUUCCCCCUCUGCAUCAACACCGCACCCAAUCCCGAUAUAGAUGCAUCACAGUAGACUACAAAGUCCUCCACUCCCUCGGGAAAGGCUAACACCGGGGCUUUGCAUAAUCUCUGGCGAAGAGUCUCAUAUGAGGCCUGCUGCUCGGGCCCCCAAGCAAAAUUAACACCCUUCCGGGUCAAUCUGGUAAGAGGAACAACAAUCUUGAAGAAAUCUCUGAUGAAUCUCCGAUAGUAGCUGGCCAAACCCAGAAAACUCCUGAUCUCGGACGAGGAUCUCGACACCUCCCAUCUCAUAACUGCCUCAAUCUUGGUCGGGUCAACCAAUAUCCCAUUCUGAUUAAAGAGGUACCCCAGGAAUUGUACCUCUCGUAACCAGAAAUCACAUUUGGAGAAUUUGGCAAAAAACCUCUCCGCCCUCAAUACUCCAAGAAUCUCUCCAAGAUGCUCAUCGUGUUGCUCUCUAGACCUCAAGUAUACCAGAAUGUCGUCAAUGAACACGAUCAUCGACCGAUCCAACAUGGGCCAGCACACCUGGUUCUUGAGAUCCAUGAACGUUGCCGAUACGUUGGUGAGUCCGAAAGGCAUCACCACAAACUCGUAAUGCCUAUAACGAGUUAUGAAGGCCGUCUUCUGGAUAUCCUCCUCGCAAACUCUCAUUUGAUGAUAUCCAGACCUCAAAUCAAUCUUGGAAAACCAAGAGGCCCCCUGCAACUGAUCGAACAAAUCGUCGAUCCUCGGUAGCGGAUAACGGUUCUUGACCGUUAGCUUGUUCAACUCCCGGUAAUCGAUGCACAUCCGGUGUGAACCAUCCUUCUUCUUAACAAAAAGGAUAGGUGCUCCCCACAGCGAGCUACUCGGUCUGAUGAAAUCCUUCCCCAACAGCUCCUGGAGCUGUGAGGAUAACUCCUGCAUCUCUAGUGGCGCAAGGCGAUUAGGUGCCUUGGCAAUAGGCGUCGCGCCCAUAACUAAAUCAAUCUGGAACUCCACCUGCCUCUCUGGAGGCACACCUGGCAACUCCUUGGGAAAAACAUCCGGGAACUCGCACACUAUCGAAACCUCGGAGAUAGAACUCGGCCUCUCUGAAACGACCCGCGUAUCCGUCACGUACGCCAAGAAGCCCAUACAACCCUGAUGUAAACUCUGCCUCGCCCUGGCAGCAGAGCAGAAAGCUGAUCCAUAUCUGGUACACUCGCCAUACACUGUAAGCACUCCCUCACUAGGGUCUCGUAUAGUCACCAACUGACGCUCGCAGUCGAUCACAACUCCAAAACAACUAAACCAAUCCAUGCACACGAUGACAUAUACAUCACCCAUCGUUAUCGGCACCAGAUCUAUCGGGAACUCGACACCAAAUAUCUCCGGUACACAUCUUCGAAAUACGUCAGUAGCAAAACCCACAUCCUCGUCGGCUAUGGAAACCCUCAGAGGCCGACUCAACGCCUCACGUCGGAUACUGAUGUGACGACUAAAAGCUAAAUACACGAAGGAUCAACUAGCACCCGAGUCAAAUAACACCAAAGCAUGUAUAGAACUCACUAGAAAUGUACCUAAAUACAACACAAAAUAAGCACAAUAAAUCUCAAAAUAAAAUAAAUAAGGAAAUACGUACCAGCCACGACAUCAGGUGCUGGGCGGACCUCCUCCGCUGUCAGCUGAAAAGCUCUCCCACGAGCCCUCGGAGCCUCGACCUUCACCGGCCAACUAUCAUUAGCACGCAAAGCAGCAGGAGUGGAACCCUAGGCUGAUCCCUAAACAAGCUGAGGGCACUCGGCCUUCCGAUGGCCGAUCUGGUUGUAGUGAAAGCAAACUGUAAACCCCUUGGGGCAAUCCUUCGCCAUGUGCUCGUCUUUUCCACAUUUGUAGCAAAUCCCCACCCGACAAGAUCCCUCAUGACUCUUUCCGCACUUGUCACAAGUGCGGCCCUUCUGGCCUCCUGAUCUCGAAUCAGCGGGCUUAGUUCGCUUCACCGACGACUGCAACUACGCUGGUCUCCGGUCUCUCCCCUGAGACUCCGCCUCCUCCCUGACCUGAGUCUCCAGCUCAAUCUCCCUCCUCCCGGCAUUUGCCUGAAGCUCGGAAAAUGUCCGAUAAGACGAGUUCGCCACGAACUCUGGAAUAUCCUUCCUCAGAAUGCUCAAAUACCGGCUCAUGCGUGCCUUCUUAGUAGACACGUGCUCAAGGCAGAACUACGCCCUCUCGUGAAACAUCCUCGUAAUCUUUGUCACUGAUUCUGUCUUCUGCUUGAGAGACAGAAACUCCUAGGCCAACUGAUCCCUCUCCACCGGGGAACAUACUCAUCUCGGAACAACAACGUAAACCUCUCCCAUGUCACUACAGUAUGCUCUGCAAGAGUAAAAUUGGUUGUCACAAACUUCCACCAGUCCUUCGCGCCCAAGCGAAGCUGGUUCAGCGCGAACCGAACUCUCAAAUGCUCUGGGCACGAGUAUGUGUAAAAGCAUCCCUCGAUAUCAGAGAUCCAUCUCAUAGUGUAACGCUUGUAUUUCCGGGCUCGUCAUUAAUAUUGAUAUAGUAGUCCAGGUUAACCUUUGUAACUCGUUUUGAAAUAAUAGAAGUGUAUUAUUUGAGUAUUAUGUGUUAUGUGCUUAAUUGUGUGUCUUAAUUUAAUUAAGAAUAAAAAUAAGCGUCAAAAUGAAAUGUUAGAUAAAGCCGAUAUCUAUGGAUAAUGUUGUAGUAGUUGAAACGAGGUUUCCGAAUAUAUAAAGAAUGCCGAAAUCCGAGUUAUAACGAAGAAGUUAUGACCUGUCGAAGUUUCGCAACAGAACCGGCAACGCUGAAUGACGUAAAAGGUGAAAUUUACGUUAGUGCGAUAUUUAGCCUUAGUAAUCUAAACGAAUGUUGUAGAGUUCCUUAAACCGAGAGCGUGCAUAAAAAGAACGCCCAAAUCUGACUUCGUAUGAGGAAGUUAUGAUUUUUCAAAGUUUCGACUUAGCGGUAUGCAGCCCGAAUACUCGAAAUAGAGAUCGGGUGAUAUUUAGCCAAAAAUUUCUAAAUGAGAAUUGAAGAUCUCAUUGAUAGUAGUCCAACGAUAAAAAGACAGACGAAAACGGAGUUCAGAUGAAGGAGUUAUGAAUUUCGAACAGAGUUUUCCUGUCCCGACCUACUAAAAAUAAUAUAUAAGUAAGAUACUUAUAAUAUAUUAAAAAUCAAGUCAUAAUUAGCUAAUGGAGCCUAAACGAGAGUUGUAGAGCAUAAUCUCACAUUCGCGUCGAUAUAAAGAAUGUCGAAAACGGAGUUCGUAUGCGAAAGUUAUGAAUUUCUAAAGUUCGGGGUGCGAAACCCCAAAACUGUCAAAUACCACGACGUGGCAAGUCUUCUAACACCUCCAGGAGUUCCCGCAGACGCCACUUGCGAUGACGCAUGCAGUGACGACCAAGCCCACGACGUGGAAAAGGUGCCACGACUUGGCAAGGGCCAAUUUUGCCCUAUAAAUAGAUUUGAAGGGCCAGCCGUUUAGGGUUGCUAUAUUCUCUCAUCUCUCACCUGUAUUGCAUCGAUUUACAUGCAAAUAAGUACCCUCGAAGCCCCGGUAUCAAUCCUGAGCCCCGAAGCAAGUUCCGAAGCCCCGAAGAUCCCGAGAAGUGCAAUUCCCGAGCCGAAGCUCUGCUCGCGAGAAGUCCGGUUUUUGUGACGAUCUUCCAGAUCUACUGAAGAAUACUACUUCUGCAAGUCGUAGUGUUGUCCGAUCAUCUUCUGAUCAAGUGAGUGUAUAAUCACUUUCAUCUUACACAUAGAUAUGAAGUAUUUUAUAAAAUACGUGCUAUAUGUAUAUAUAUUGUUGUUUAUAUGUGUGAGUGUGUAGUUAGUUUAUUCGAACACAUAAUUAUGAACUAUUUGGUACGAAAUACAUGUUAUGUGUAUAUUUUGUUGAUUAUAUGUGUGAAUGUAUAUUCAAUUUCUUCUAUCUCAUAGAUCCGAUUUAUUCUCUAUGAAAAUACGUGUUAUGUGGGUGUGCCUCAUCUGUUAUGUGGAACAUGUANUCUUCUAACACCUCCAGGAGUUCCCGCAGACGCCACUUGCGAUGACGCAUGCAGUGACGACCAAGCCCACGACGUGGAAAAGGUGCCACGACUUGGCAAGGGCCAAUUUUGCCCUAUAAAUAGAUUUGAAGGGCCAGCCGUUUAGGGUUGCUAUAUUCUCUCAUCUCUCACCUGUAUUGCAUCGAUUUACAUGCAAAUAAGUACCCUCGAAGCCCCGGUAUCAAUCCUGAGCCCCGAAGCAAGUUCCGAAGCCCCGAAGAUCCCGAGAAGUGCAAUUCCCGAGCCGAAGCUCUGCUCGCGAGAAGUCCGGUUUUUGUGACGAUCUUCCAGAUCUACUGAAGAAUACUACUUCUGCAAGUCGUAGUGUUGUCCGAUCAUCUUCUGAUCAAGUGAGUGUAUAAUCACUUUCAUCUUACACAUAGAUAUGAAGUAUUUUAUAAAAUACGUGCUAUAUGUAUAUAUAUUGUUGUUUAUAUGUGUGAGUGUGUAGUUAGUUUAUUCGAACACAUAAUUAUGAACUAUUUGGUACGAAAUACAUGUUAUGUGUAUAUUUUGUUGAUUAUAUGUGUGAAUGUAUAUUCAAUUUCUUCUAUCUCAUAGAUCCGAUUUAUUCUCUAUGAAAAUACGUGUUAUGUGGGUGUGCCUCAUCUGUUAUGUGGAACAUGUAUUGAAUGAGAAUGCUAUACAUGUUUUAAACUAUGUAUAAAAAUAUAUAUUUUAUCUACUAAUAUGUUGGGUAGAACAUGGGUAGAUAGUUAAUGUGUGAUAAACAGAUGAGAGGUCUCGAUGUUGUUGUCGUUAAUCUAGUUAUUCAGCGGAGUAUGGAUAACGACCACAGACUCUUUCUAGACAGUCUUGUGGAAUGCUAGCAGGUUCAUAACCUGUAAGUGUUGUGAACGAUGUGUUCACCGGUGUACUCUAUCCCCCUCAUGGUUGCCUUUAGGACAUCUAUUGUUGAGGAAACCCCUUAGCAGUAAUGUCCGUCCCGAUGAAAAUCCUAGAUUAGGUCCCUUGAGAUAGAUGUUGUUUUAGGGACAUAAAGUGAGGAUAACGGGAAUGGGUAAUCGGGUUAUUGUUGGUUGGUGAAAUUAAAUAUAAUUAUUUAUUGUGGGUUGAAAACCCUAUAUGCUCACCAGGCUCCCAAGCCUGACCCACUUAGUUUAUUUGUAUUACAGGUAGUGGCGCGAGGGCAUAAGAUGGAUGAAUCAUCAAGUUGUUUUGUUUACAAGUUUGUAUAUGUAUAUAUUUGUUGAAUGACUUGUAAUGUUAUCGUUUAUGCUUUAUGGUCUGUAUCGGAACAUGACAUCCCGAGUUUUGAUUAUAUAAUGAAAAUGCAUCUCUUGAUGAAAUGCUUUGAUAAAUAUUAUUUUAUCAUAUUUUGUUUUGGGAACAAAUUCCGCAACUCUUUUAAAUCAAAAGGAUUUACUCUGAAAUUAUUUUAAAAAGCAUAAAUGAAAUCGGUCUUUUCUGGCCGUGAUUUUGGGGAUGUCACAGUUGGUAUCAGAGCAUUAGUUUAAGCGAACUAGGAAUUUGUAGGAUUUCUAGACUUAAACUUAGAAUGCUAAGUGGAAUUUUGAGAUGUGUGUCUGUUGGAUUUUAGACACGAGCACUAGUUUAUUUUAGGAAAGUUGCCUAAAAUGCUUUUAUGUGCUAAAUGUUAUAUGUUGCCAUAUAUGAUAUUAAUUGUUCGGAUCUACGGUCUGUUGCCGACCGGAUCUGGAAACCUUAUGUGUGUAGGAUUCUAAGCGUAUGUCUACGGUAUUAGAACUAGCAUGUAAAUGUUUCGGAGUGAUAAGGAUGAUUUAAUUAUCUAUCGUGGAUGAGGAUCUAAUUUCACCUUAUUCGGUGUGUAGAUCAAAAAUGGUAAGAACCAGGAGUGGCGUUGGAAACGCGGAUGAAAACAGGAAUCAACCACCAGUGAUUGAGCAAGCACAUGUUGUAGCAGCAGCACCAGAACCAAUAACGAUGGUUGGGGUGCAAGCCAUGGUUCGGGCUAUGUUAGCCGAACAAAGGGAAGAAGUGCGACAGAUGUUACAUGAAAAUAGGGACGAACCUAUCAUACCUAUUGAGGAACCUGAAUUGAUUCCCGAGCAAUCGGAGGAAGGGAACAAUAGUCGCAUUAUGAGUCAAGUUGGGACUCAAGGAGAACGAAGGAAUGAUCCGGAAAGGAGAAACAACAAGGAUGGGCGAAUGUACAAGAAUUUCUUGGGCGCCAAACCGCCAAGUCUUUCUGGGAGCCCAAAGCCUGUUGAGAUUAUGGAUUGGAUCUCUGAAAUGGAGAUGGUAUUUGAAAGUUGCCACUGUAGCAACAAACAGAAGACCGUAUUUGCAGUUAGACAACUGAAGACUGGAGUCUUGAGUUGGUGGAAGUUGCUGGCAGAUACUAUGCCACAAGGAGAAGCCCUGAAAAUGUCAUGGGAAGAGUUCUUGGAACAACUAAGGGUGCAAUAUUGUUCAGAGAUAGAUCUGAUUGAACUGAACCAUGAGUUCCAAAACUUGAGGAAGGGGAGGAUGAGCAUAGAUGACUAUGCUACUGCAUUCACUGAGAAAAUGAAGUUAUUUCCGUACCUAGUGCCAACGGAACUCUCCAAGAUUGAGAGGUUAGCUAAUGGACUGCCUGCCGACUUUGGCCCGACAGUCAAGAUGGCAACUACUCUGAAAACAGUUGUUCGAGCAGCUAAGAAUGUGGAGGCCCAACAGAAGGGAAAGGGUCUGGAAAGGAUAGAGGUUGGUGAAAAGAGGAAGCUCGAUGGAACUUCAGGGUCCAACAAGAAAAACAAGUUCUUGAAGUCUAGUUCGAGAGGAGGAGGAGGGGAAGCGAAAUGGUGCGAAAAAUGUAAGAGGAAGCAUCAUGGAAAAUGUGAGGUGGUGGCCACAUGCUUCAAAUGUGGAAAGCCAGGGCACUAUGCCAACGAAUGCACCCUUACUAUGAAAGUUUGUUAUGGUUAUGGCGAGGAGGGACACAUGUCGAGGGACUGCCCGAAAAAGAAGGAGGCAGCAAGACCCAACAUUCCGCCAAAGCCGAAGGCGAGAGCAUUCCAGAUGACACUGGAAGCUGCUAAAGAUGAAGCUGAUGUCGCUUCAGGUACCUUUCUCGUAAACAAAUUGUCUGCCCAAAUUUUAUUUGAUUCUGGAGCCAACUACUCCUUUAUUUCGCAUGAAUUUGGUAGAAAACUAGCUUUGUCUGUCAAUAAACUAGAUAAUGCUUUAUUAGUCGAAGUUGCUAGUGGCAAAUUUGUACCUGUUAGCCAUCGUAUGAAAAACAUCUUAAUUGACUUAAAUGGGAAUAAGUUCAAGGAGGAAUUAUUGCCUAUAGAACUUAAUGGUUUCGACAUCGUGUUGGGAAUGGAUUGGCUUAGCGCCAAUGACGCCGAGAUAUUGUGCAAGAAGAAGAUUGUAAAGGUAAACCCGCCUAGGAAAGAGCCGUUUAUGGCGUAUGGAGAUAAACACAGAGUAAAUUCUGGAAUCAUUUCAUUGAUGAAAGCCAGAAAGUGUUUGGCCAAAGGAUGUACGUCGUAUCUAGGAUUUGUGAUAGAUGCUAAGAAGGAGAAAAAGACGAUGUAGAGCAUUCCUGUCGUAUGUGAUUAUCCGGAAGUAUUUCCCGAAGAUCUUCCCGGAUUACCGCCUGAUAGACAAGUGGAGUUUAGAAUAGACUUGUUACCAGGGACGACGCCAAUAGCAAAAGCACCUUACCGAUUAGCACCGACGGAGAUGAAGGAGCUGAUGAUGCAACUUCAGGAGUUAUUGGACAAAGGUUUCAUUAGACCUAGUUCAUCGCCCUGGGGAGCUCCGGUGUUAUUCGUAAAGAAGAAAGACGGGAGCAUGAGGAUGUGCAUUGAUUACAGAGAGCUGAAUAAAGCAACGAUAAAGAAUAGAUAUCCAUUGCCGAGGAUUGAUGACCUGUUCGAUCAACUUCAAGGUUCGAGCUAUUUCUCGAAGAUCAAUCUUAGGUCAGGAUAUCAUCAGCUGAAAGUAAGAGAGCAGGAUAUAGAGAAGACUGCAUUCAGAACACGAUAUGGACACUACGAGUUUUUGGUUAUGUCGUUUGGACUAACCAAUGCUCCAGCAGCAUUCAUGGAUUUAAUGAACAGGGUUUGUAAUCCGUUCCUAGAUAAAUCUGUGAUAGUGUUCAUAGAUGACAUUCUGAUUUAUUCAAAAAGCCAAGAGGAGCAUGNNNNNNNNNNNNNNNNNNNNNNNNNNNNNNNNNNNNNNNNNNNNNNNNNNNNNNNNNNNNNNNNNNNNNNNNNNNNNNNNNNNNNNNNNNNNNNNNNNNNNNNNNNNNNNNNNNNNNNNNNNNNNNNNNNNNNNNNNNNNNNNNNNNNNNNNNNNNNNNNNNNNNNNNNNNNNNNNNNNNNNNNNNNNNNNNNNNNNNNNNNNNNNNNNNNNNNNNNNNNNNNNNNNNNNNNNNNNNNNNNNNNNNNNNNNNNNNNNNNNNNNNNNNNNNNNNNNNNNNNNNAAGCGAAGACCGAUGACUUUUGAAGUUGGAGAUUCGGUUUUGCUUAAAGUCUCGCCGUGGAAAGGACUUAUAAGAUUUGGUAAAAGAGGAAAAUUAAGUCCAAGGUUUAUUGGACCGUUUAAAGUUCUUCAGAGGAUUGGGAACCAAGCUUACAAGCUUGAACUACCAGAAGAACUGAAUGGAAUUCAUAACACUUUUCAUGUGUGUUAUUUGAAAAAGUUCACGGGAGAAGUUCCCGACACGAUUCCACUUUCGGAGUUGAGAAUCCAUGAGAGCAAAAGGUUGAUUGAAGAACCAGAGGCAAUCGUUGACCGGAAGACUAAGAAGUUGCAAAGCAAGAUGGUCGAGUUAGUGCUUGUCCGAUGGAAACACACGAAUGGGCCAAAUCUCACUUGGGAGACAGAGAGUGACAUGAUGAGUCGCUACCCACAGCUGUUUGUUGAUGUGUGAUUCCGGGGACGGAAUCAUUCUAAGGUGGAGAGAAGUGUAACGCCUGUGUUUCCGGGCUAGUCAUUAAUAUUGAUAUAGUAGUCCAUGUUAACCUUUGUAACUCGUUUUGAAAUAAUAGAAGUGUAUUAUUUGAUUAUUAUGUGUUAUGUGUUUAAUUGUGUGUCUUAAUUUAAUUAAGAAUAAAAAUAAGAGUCAAAAUGAAAUGUUAGAUAAAGCCGAUAUCUAUGGAUAAUGUUGUAGUAGUUGAAACGAGGUUUCCGAAUAUAUAAAGAAUGCCGAAAUCCGAGUUAUAACGAAGAAGUUAUGACCUGUCGAAGUUUCGCGACAGAAACGGCAACGUUGAAUGACGUAAAAGGUGAAAUUUACGUUAGUGCGAUAUUUAGCCUUAGUGAUCUAAACGAAUGUUGUAGAGUUCCUUAAACCGAGAGCGUGCAUAAAAAGAAUGCCAAAAUCUGACUUCGUAUGAGGAAGUUAUGAUUUUUCAAAGUUUCGACUUAGCGGUAUGCCGCCCGAAUACUUGAAAUAGAGAUCGGGUGAUAUUUAGCCAAAAAUUUCUAAAUGAGAAUUGAAGAUCUCAUUGAUAGUAGUCCAACGAUAAAAAGACAGACGAAAACGGAGUUCAGAUGAAGGAGUUAUGAAUUUCGAAUACAGUUUUCCUGUCCCGGCCUACUAAAAAUAAUAUAUAAGUAAGAUACUUAUAAUAUAUUAAAAAUCAAGUCAACAUUAGCCAAUGGAUUCUAAACGAGAGUUGUAGAGCGUAAUCUUACAUUUGCGUCGAUAUAAAGAACGUCGAAAACGGAGUUCGUAUGCGAAAGUUAUGAAUUUCUGAAAUUCGGGGCGCGAAACCCCAAAACUGUCCGAUACCACGACGUGGCAAGUCUUCUGAUACCUCCGGGAGUCCCCCAGACACAACUUGCGAUGAUGCAUGCAGUGACGACCAAGCCCACAAUGUGGAAAAGGUGCCACGACGUGGCAAGGGCCAAUUUUGCCCUAUAAAUAGAUUUGAAGGGCCAGCCGUUUAGGGUUGCUAUAUUCUCUCAUCUCUCACCUGUAUUGCAUCGAUUUACGUGCAAAUAAGUACCCUCGAAGCCCCGGUAUCAAUCCCGAGCCCCGAAGCAAGUUCCGAAGCCUCGAAGAUCCCGAGAAGUGCAAUUCCCGAGCCGAAGCUCUGCUCGCGAGAAGUCCGGUUUUUGUGACGAUCUUCCAGAUCUACUGAAGAAUACUACUUCUGCAAGUCGUAGUGUUGUCCGAUCAUCUUCUGAUCAAGUGAGUGUGUAGUUACUUUCUUCUAAUGCAUAACUAUGAAGUAUUUUAUACGAAAUACGUGUUAUGUGUAUAAUUUUGUUGUUAUGUGUGUGAAUGUAUAUUCACUUUCUUCUAUCUCAUAGAUCCGAUUUAUUCUCUAUGAAAUACGUGUUAUGUGGGUGUGCCUCAUCUGUUAUGUGGAAUAUGUAUUGAAUGAGAAUGCUAUACAGGUUUUAAACUAUGUAUAAAAAUAUAUAUUUUUAUCUACUAAUAUGUUGGGUAGAACAUGGGUAGAUAGUUGAUGUGUGAUAAACAGAUGAGAGGCCUCGAUGUUGUUGUUGUUGAUCUAGUUAUUCAGCGGAGUAUGGAUAACGACCACAGACUCUUUCUAGACAGUCCUGUGGAACGCUAGCAGGUUCAUAACCUGUAGGUGUUGUGAACGAUGUGUUCACCGGUGUACUCUAUCCCCCUCAUGGUUGCCUUUAGGAUAUCUAUUGUUGAGGAAACCCCUUCGCAGUGAUGUCCGUCCCGAUGAAAAUCCUAGAUUAGGUCCCUUGAGAUAGAUGUUGUUUUAGGGACAUAAAGUGAGGAUAACGGGAAUGGGUAAUCGGGUUAUUGUUGGUUGGUGAAAUUAAAUAUAAUUAUUUAUUGUGGGUUGAAAAUCCUAUAUGCUCACCAGGCUCCCAAGCCUGACCCACUCAGUUUAUUCGUAUUACAGGUAGUGGCGCGAGGGCAUAAGAUGGAUGAAUCAUCAAGUUGUUUUGUUUACAAGUUUGUAUAUGUAUAUAUUUGUUGAAUGACUUGUAAUGUUAUCGUUUAUGCUUUAUGGUUUGUAUCAGAACAUGACAUCCCGAGUUUUGAUUAUAUAAUGAAAAUGCAUCUCUUGAUAAAAUGCUUUGAUAAAUAUUAUUUUAUCAUAUUUUGUUUUGGGAACAAAUUGCGCAACUCUUUUAAAUCAAAAGGAUUUACUCUGAAAUUAUUUUAAAAAGCAUAAAUGAAAUUGGUCUUUUCUAGCCAUGAUUUUGGGGAUGUCACACAUUGCAGCGAUCAGAUCAUGUGUCUCAUCAAACUCUGGUGGCUUCAUGUUACUGAACUCCUGAAACAACAAUGAGUUACCUCCCUGUGGCCUGGCAACGGCAACAACAGCAGCGGCCUCAGUAACAGCGGCAUACCUCUCAUUAAAAGUCUCUGUCAGGGUGGUCUUAAUAGGCCCUAACAUCUCCGGUAUCGCCUCUCGAAUAGUUGCGGCCAUCUCCUCAUGGACGAUCCUGCGGAUCUCCUCGUCGCUAGUCCCACUGCCCUCGGGGUUGUGGCGUGUACCCAACAUGAUGUCUUUGAAACACAACACAAAAAUCAUCAGAGGCCUGCUCGAGCAUACUGACACUCGAUUCACGCCCCUACAUGCUCCUUAGUACCCUAAGGAUUCUUACUUGGGUUACAUACAGAUCCGAUGCUUUCAGUAGUAUGGGCCCAAUACUAUCUUCCACAGCAACCUGUAGUCACCCCAAGUCCUCCUCCUAGGAUUCCAAUUCACAAGUACUCUAUCUCGCACAGAUAUUAGGCUACUCUCUCAGUAGACUCCUCAUAUACUCAUCUUGAUAUCUCUCUUAGAUUAACCCUCGACUCUGAACACUUUUUAAGUGAUUCGUGCUAGAUAAUCCUACUUAGCACAUACUCAAGGCAAUAAUAGAUAACAACAAUUCCUAGGCUAAGGCAUCACAAAUCAGGCAACUCUAGCCCUAAAUAUGAAAUACCUAGCCUAUCCUCUAGCAUGCAUCCCUAACAUCUCAUAAAUAUCUCAUAACACAAAUAAUCAAGGGUAUUUUGAGAAAUCACCGUGUGGGCUCUAGCUGAUUAUACACACUUCUCCAACUCGUUUUUCACUUAAAACUCUUACUCAUUUUAGAAAAAUCAUUUCUUUGAAAUUUUUUCUCAAAUUCUUAGUUUGAGUCCAGACACACCCGAAGGUAUAUCCGAAUCCCUCAAACCUAGGCUCUGAUACCAACUUAUAACACCGUAAAUUUCCAAACAAAAUUUUCAUUUAAAAAUCACAUCAGUUUCAUUAACACAACCAUAAAAAUCCCCAAAUAUCGAUUUAUCAAAAACACAUGUUCAUUAAUUGUUUAAAACACAAUCCAGGAUCCUCCAAAAAAUAUCUCCAACUCGUGUGUGUACAAUCAAACCGGUGCCUUCCCGUGAUCCUGAGAAGUACCUGAAACACAUAACACAUAACACGGUAAGCACGAAGCUUAGUGAGUUCCCCAAAAUACCACACAUAUCUCAUUAGCCUCUCAUGGCUAUACUCAGAUAAGACCCUCUGGUCAAUGUGUCUCAGUGGGACCCUCCGAUCCCACAACUCGGGUGGACCCUCCGGUCCUAACUCAACAAGCUCAGAAUAAUACACAACAUAAAUCACAUAGUGUCACACCCCCGAACCAGAACGGCGGAAACGUCCGGAGGCAGGUGACUUCAUUGUGUAGUAUCAUAAUAAUUGCAUAUAAAUGAAACAUAGAAAAUCCAAACAACAUACAUAAAUAUAACAAGCUUACAUUGUUUUACAUCAUGUUUAUGUUCUCAAAUUUUACACAAAAGAAACAUCGGUAAGCAAUUCCCAAAAUACAGCAAAAUAAUCCUGAGUCCGCGAUUCCAUAACCUGCUUAUUGGUUCCUGAUAAUACAAGUCGUUUGAAAAGCGUCAACAUAAAAUAUGUUGGUGAGUUCAUAAGCAUUUUCGUGUAAAACUUCGAUGGUAGUUUAGAAAUCCAGAAAAUCCAAUAUUAUCUUAUCAAAAUAGUUGUAAGUCUUGUUUCAAAACGAGUAUAGUUGCAUGUAUGUCUUAUUCGUCAUUUUCGAAAUCAUAUAAAAUCGUUUCCUCCAGAAAAUCCUAUAUUUUCUGAUGUAUAAAAUAGUAGCUUUAACAAAACAAUAACACUUGUGUGAAAAAGGUCUCAUUUGAGAAAAUCAAAACAGAGUUGAUUGUAAACCAAAGGUGAAGUCCGUAUAAAUAAAUUUCUGAUAUAUUCUAGUGAGUCGUUAUAACCAUACUAAUAUGACGGAGUGCUUGUUAUGACGUUCUUCAGGCGUCGGUUUUGUUCAAGACAUUUGUCACCCUAGACUAGCCGGUCUAGCUGUAGUGAACAUCGAAGGUGCGGGGUGUCAACCCCGUAUAGAUCUAUACACAAUUUCCCGCUCUCCCUCGUGGAGACUCUAGUUAUAACUCUUACAUGACUUAAAGUGUACAAUAUUGUAUUAAUAUAUGUACUGUGAAGAUUUUGUCUGACUAGAAUACUAAUCGAUCUUUGAGCAAAUCGUGAAAAUUAUUAUUUACUAAAUAAAUAAUAAUAAUAAUAAUAAUAAUAAUAGUAAUAAUAAUAAUAAUAAUAAUAAUAAUAAUAGUUGUAGUUGUAACUAGAUAUUUCGUUUCGUUCGUUUCGUUUAUUGGAANNNNNNNNNNNNNNNNNNNNNNNNNNNNNNNNNNNNNNNNNNNNNNNNNNNNNNNNNNNNNNNNNNNNNNNNNNNNNNNNNNNNNNNNNNNNNNNNNNNNNNNNNNNNNNNNNNNNUAUAUAACUUUGACUUGUGUGAGUUUAUGACAACAACUUUAUGACAUGCAAAUUUUUCUGUCAUAAAUGCUCCAUUUGUGUAUUUCCUUGGUGGAAUUAUUUAUCAAAUAUUUAUAAAUAAUCCCUAAUAGUUUGUAAAAUAGUCACAAAGUUCCCAUUUUCGAAAAUUACUAGAAAUAGUGUCAGCUUAUCAAGGUCCCUUUUUAUAACUUUUAUCUCUAGACAUGAAAGCAUAGAUAAAGGGGUUAAGUUUGACACACCCAAUAGUUGGGAGGCUCUUUUGUACACAAAGUAUCCUCUAUUUAUUAUGAAGUUGUGAAAUCUUACGUUCAUGAGUAUAUUACUAAAAUAAUAAUUUAAUAAUAUUUCACACACACAUCCAAACAUACGUAUACAUGCAAUUAUUCAAGCAUUUAGGCUAUAUUUGACUUGUACUCUCCCCAAAAACAUUAAGACACUAAAAAAGGUGGGGUAUGAUUCUCACCUUGGUUUGUUUGCUGGGUUAUCUGAAGAGUGAUGAGGAAGUUUCCAAGCUCCAAAACUGGGAAGAUUCUAAAAUCUCUAGAGUAUUCUAAGAAAAAUUUUUAUGUGUAAAUAUAGUGGAAUCUUAGAAUAAUGGGAAGAAUAAUUAUUUAAAGAGGAUAAAACACUCACCAAAGAAAUCUGUAACGACCCGUUUCCGGUAUGUUAAUUAAUUUGAUUUGGGCUAAGUUUUCAAGAGGGACUCGGCGAGUUCUAGCCUGACUCGCCGAGUCAGGUCGCGCAUCUUGUGCACGCGGGAGCCGGCGACUCGGCGAGUCCAUAUCCUGGACUCGGCGAGUCCGUCCGUCUGGGUGAAACCCUAACUCCCCGGGUUUGCUCACUAUUUAAACCCCAUUAUAGCCUCCAUCUCGUCACUUUCCCCCUGAGAGCACUGUGAGAAACCCUAAACCUUCCUCUUGUGAGCUUAUAAGUGAUCUUGUUCCAUUUUGUGAAGGGGUGAAGAAGGAGAAGAAGAAGGAAGCAAGGAAACGAGUUCUAGUGCCAAGAUCCAAGAUCAAGUGUGAACUUAUUGAGGUAAUUUCGGAGUUCUCUUCUGGUUUCAUGCUUAAACUUCCAUUAGAGCUCUUUUAAGGGCUAUUUGAUGCUUGUUCCAAGCUUUAUGCNCUCUUUUAAGGGUUAUUUGAUGCUUGUUCCAAGCUUUAUGCUUGUUUGAUUGUGUUAUUGAGCCGAAAUACCUUUGGAUCUGAGUGUUGGGGUGUUGAAGAGUCCAGAUCCACUGUCUUUUUGGAAUUACAUUGCUUAUUAGCCAUGGAUCUACCCUUAUGGUGCAUAUUUUAGUCUUAUUUCCCUCAUUCAUGUGGUUGUGCACGUAAAGUUGGAAACUUUACGUGGUAAAACAGCUUAAUGGACCUAGAUCUAUCAUUUGCAUGUGUUGGAUUCAAGAGAAAUCGAGUAAAAAUAUGUUGCAUGGCGGCGACUCGGCGAGUCGGAGGAACGACUCGACGAGUCAGGUCGCGAGUCCCGAGUUCUUCAGUUUCUUCAGUGUCGAGUGUACGAGGUGAGUUAGGGAGUGGACUCAGCGAGUUAAGAGUAGACUCAGUAAUGGAGGGACUCGGCGAGUUUGUUCAUACAACUCGGCGAGUCCAAGGCAAUCUCCUUGAGGAUUAAGAACAACUCGUCGAGUCUGUUCAUCUGACUCGGCGAGUCGGAUGAAGAUCAUCUGAGUUCUUGGAUCCAGAGGGUACCCGUCGAGUCGAUGCCACACUCGACGAGUAACAGCAUGUAAGAGUUGAACGGAGAAUCUAGGACUCGGCGAGUCGGGUAUCCCGACUCGGCGAGUCAGCCCUGAGUAAGUCAACUUUGACCAAGGGUAAAAGAGUCAUUUUACCCUGAGUGUAGUGCUAGUGAUUGAUUGAGUGUGUUUAUGGAUUUGUAGCCGAGGAGAUUCAGGAGCAGCAGCCGUUAGCUUUCCGAGCCGCACUCUCAUCCGCUAGCUUACGAGGUGAGUUUCCUUCCCGUAGGGGCGGGUCUAAGGCCACAAUGCCGGCCCGUCCAGUUAAUAGUAGUUUCCGGACUUCGGUCCGAUGUAGUAGUUAGUAUGUUUGAUGCCUUCGUGGUUCAGACAUGUUUUAUGUGCUAUGUGUAUGUGUUUAUGUUCCGGGCCACGGCCCGAUGCAGUAUGCAGUAUAAAUUGUUAUGAUAUGCUAUGCUAUGUGCAGUCAGUCCCGGACCUCGGUCCGAUGCAGGGGACACGGUCCCAGUUAGUUCCGGACUUCGGUCCGAUGCAGUUAGUUCCGGACUUCGGUCCGAUGCAGUUAGUUCCGGACUUCGGUCCGAUGCAGUCAGUUCCGGACUUCGGUCCGAUGCAGUUAGUUCCGGACUUCGGUCCGAUGCAGGGGACAAGGUCCCAGUCAGUUCCGGACUUCGGUCCGAUGCAGUUUUCCGGGUCCCGACCCGAUGCAGUGGGCAAGGCCCAAUAUGUGUUUAUAUGUUGUUGUAUGGUAUGUGGUAAGUUGGGGGAGCUCACUAAGCUUCGUGCUUACAGUUUCAGUUUUGGUUUCAGGUACUUCCGCAAGCAAAGGGAAGAGCUCUGGAUGACGGCAUCGCACACACCACCGUUUCAGCUUUAGUUGGAUUUGAUUUAGUUGUUGUUUUGGAUAUAGCAUGUUACAUUUUCCGCACAGUACUUUAUUAUCUUUUGGGACAUAUCACGCAUGGUUUAUCUAUAUGAUACUCUGAUUAUAGUUUUGAUGGUAUUAAAAACAAAAUUUUUGGGUCGUAUUUUUGGGUCGUUUCAAGUUGGUAUCAGAGCCCUGGUUUGAGGGAUUCGGAUACACUCUCGGGUGUAUCUGAACUCAAACUAAGGGGAAAUAAAAGAUUUUUAAUAAAAUGUUUUUACAAAAGAAUUUUGAAAACACUUAGAAGGAAAAGAAUUGUUUUAAGAUAGAGGUGUGUGCAUGCGGUCAACCGAGCUCAAGUAAGUACUCCCAAAUUACCCAUACAAGUUAUUUGUUCAAUUUCAGUUUAGUAGAACAGCAUGCUAGAAUAGGACUAAGGGUGUAGGAGAAUGCCUUAUGUGCCUGCUUAUGUGUUACAGCUCUAUGAAUAUUGCAUGCUAGAAUUGAGUAGACAGCAGUAGGAUAGCCUGUUUAGGUUAUGCCUGAUAGUGUGAGCUUAGCAUCCUAUGCUAGUGCAAUUUCUUGUUAUAAGAAUAGCUUGCGUGAGUCUGUUUCCCUUGUCCGAAUGCUGCUUGCUUUGUGCUUAGUGGGAUUCCGAGUAAUGGGAGUUAGCCAUUAGGUGGACACGUCACACCACAUGUAAUCAGGUUUGAAUAAUCCCAGAGUGCUGGAACUGGCCCUACUGCGCAGCUCUUGUUUGAGUCCAACCGUUGUAGGGACGGAUCUUUUACUUGAAGGAUUAUCCGAUCCUCAUCACAUGUGAUGGUGUUCAGGUGAUGGCUAACUGGCAGUGCAAGGAGACCUACAGCAGCUGAGGACCAGUCGUAUUGAGCUCGAGUUUUCUCUAGGGCAAGCCUAGGGUGAGAGUAGCAGAAAAUAGCAGCGGUAGAAGUGACUUGGGGAAGUCGAGGCAGUUCUUGAGGAAAGUACGGAUAGAUGUGGAAGGUAGUAGGGGCCCAUACUACUGGAAACAGAGGAUCCGUACUCGAAUCAAGGAAGGCCAAGAUUAGACCAGGAAGCUAGUAGUCGUAUUAUGAUCCCUUGAAAUAUUUCAAUGUUCUGAUGUUGUUAUGAUAUGUUUCAGAAUGGUAGUUUUGCGUCCGAGGCCAGCAGCCGGCAGUUCAGAUGCCGGAGGAGGAUCAGGAUCGGGAUCCGACCCGGAGGUCGGACAGAUGGAUGAGCAGACCAGAGAGUUCCUUUCUUCUGAGAUUACUCGCAUCAUACUUGAGCAGACUCCUGUGAUCUUCGGUUCGAUCAAGGAGGGCAUUUUGGAGAUGAUGGAUGAGAGACUGAGUACCUUCCGUACUGAGAUGGCGGCCAUGAUGGGGUCGCGCACACUCACUUUCAGGGAGUUCAGGGCGUGCGGGGCUCCUGACUACCACGGGGCACGGGACCCCAUAGCGAGUACCAGGUGGUUGGCGGAUGUGGCCAACGCAUUCCGCACUAGCAGAUGUCCCGAGGGGGACAAGGUCAGAUUGGCGUCCUGUCUCCUGAAGGACAGGGCACGUGACUGGUGGGAGGAGGUAGGACAUACCAUCGGGGAUGAUGCGGCAUUGGAUGCCAUGACCUGGGCUGAUUUUUCUACCAGGUUCAGAGCGGAGUUCGCACCGGUCAUUGAGGUGCAACAGUUAGCCAGGGAGUUCCAGGAUCUUACCCAGACUACCGAGACAGUGGCGGAGAUCACCGCCAAGUUCAGGGAGCGGGCCCUUCUUGUUCCUCAGUAUGCAGCAGACGAGGAGAUGAAGAAGGCCCGUUAUCACGAGAUGUUGCGGAGCGACAUUCGUAUGUUUGUGAGCCGGUCCAGUUGCAAAACACUGGACGACAUGAUUGCUAGAGCCAGAGAGAGGGAGAUUGAUCUCGAGAUGGAGAGGAAGAGGAAACCGGAGGCGGUUUCGGGUGCAGGCAGUGUGGGCAAAAAGCCCAAGGUUUCAGAUCACAGAUCUAGGAGUCAGCAGAGCCACGGUCGAUGUGGCAAGUGUGGGAGAUUGCACGAGGGAGCGUGCAAGGCAGGGAGUUCCGGCUGCUACAAGUGCGGUCGGAUUGGGCAUUUGAGUAGGGAUUGUACGGCCCCUGCCACUACGGUUACAGCAUCGGAUCUGAUUUGCUUUCAGUGCAAUCAGAGGGGACACAAAAGGUCCCAGUGUCCCAGUUUAGCUGCAGCAGGGAAGGUGCAUGCACCCGCCCCUGCUACCUUGAGGAUCACGGAUGGCCGUCAGGGCCGAGCUGAUGCGCCGGUGGCGAAGAGCAGGGCAUUUCAGAUGACAGCAGAGGAGGCGCGAGCGACUCCUGAUGUGGUGACGGGUAUGUAUCUUCCCUUUUAUCUCUUUAUUAUUAUUGAUUAAAUGUUGCUUAUGGUUGUAUGUUUUAUUCAGGGUCGUUCUCUGUGAACGGCAUUUCUGCUUUGGUAUUAUUCGAUUCGGGGGCUACCCGAUCAUUCGUAUCUCUUGCGCUUAGCAAGAGGUUCAGUAGAGCUCCAGGGGAACUGGAUUGUCCGUUAGAGGUGGAGAUAGCAGAUGAUAGGACCGUGAGGGUCGACAAAGUAUAUAGAGGGUGUUCCCUUCAGAUAUUUGAGGAGCAGUUUUCAGUGGAUUUGGUUCCGAUUCCCCUGCGCGGGAAUAAAGUUAUUGUGGGAAUGGAUUGGCUAAGCCCCAACGGGGCGGUGAUUGAUUGUGAGCUUCAGCUAGUGAGGGUUCGCACUCCCAGUGGGGGAGAGAUAGUGGUUCAGGGCGAGAGGCCCCAGCGAGGAUUGACCUUCUGCUCUGCCGCUAGGGCGAGGCGCUACGUUCAGCAGGGUUGCGCCGGUUAUGUAGCCUACGUCUUGGAUGCCCGGGAUAAGGGCAAGACGACGAUCGAUGAUGUUCCUAUUGUUCGAGAUUACCCGGAUGUGUUUCCCGAGGAUUUGCCGGGGAUACCUCCUGAGAGGCAGGUUGAGUUCAGGAUCGACCUGGUUCCUGGUGCGGCUCCGAUAGCCAAAGCACCAUAUCGACUUGCUCCCCCUGAGAUGCAGGAGUUGUCUACACAGCUUCAGGAGCUGUUAGACAAGGGUUUCAUUCGACCGAGCAGUUCGCCUUGGGGAGCGCCGAUCUUAUUUGUGAGGAAGAAAGACGGGUCGCAUCGGAUGUGUAUUGAUUACCGGGAGUUGAACAAGGUAACGGUGAAGAACCGUUACCCACUUCCGAGGAUAGAUGACUUGUUUGAUCAGCUCCAGGGAGCGUCUUGGUUCUCCAAGAUCGACCUACGCUCCGGUUACCACCAGAUGAGGGUCAGGGAUGAGGAUGUACAGAAGACUGCUUUCAGGACCCGGUAUGGUCAUUAUGAGUUUGUGGUGAUGCCAUUUGGGCUCACCAAUGCCCCAGCCGCGUUCAUGGAUCUCAUGAACCGCGUGUGUAGACCGAUGCUGGAUCGGUCAGUGAUAGUGUUCAUCGAUGACAUCUUGGUGUAUUCCAAGACGCAGGGACAGCACGAGGAGCACCUGCGGGAGGUGUUGGAGACUUUGAGGAGGGAGAGACUGUUCGCUAAGUUCUCCAAGUGCGAGUUCUGGUUACGCGAGGUGCAGUUUCUUGGGCAUCUCGUUAAUCAGAAGGGUAUUUUGGUUGACCCGGCCAAGAUUGAGGCCGUGAUGCAGUGGGAGGUCCCGAGGUCUCCAUCUGAGAUUCGGAGCUUCCUAGGAUUGGCAGGGUAUUAUCGGAGGUUUAUUCAGGAUUUCUCCAAGAUAGCAGUGCCGCUCACCCGACUAACCAAGAAGUCGGUAGUUUUUCGUUGGGGGCCUGAGCAGCAGGCGGCGUUCGAGACUCUCAGGCAGAGAUUGUGCGAGGCUCCGAUCCUUACCUUGCCAGAGGGUGUUGAGGAUUUCGUGGUCUAUUGUGAUGCUUCGAUCACAGGUAUGGGAGCAGUGUUGAUGCAGCGAGGCCAUGUGGUGGCUUAUGCUUCGAGACAGUUGAAGCCUCACGAGGCUAAUUAUCCUACCCACGACUUGGAGCUGGGGGCAGUUGUAUUUGCCCUCAAGAUUUGGAGGCAUUACCUGUAUGGGGUCCGCUGUACUAUCUACACGGACCACAAGAGUUUACGAUACCUUAUGGAUCAGCCGAGUUUGAAUAUGAGACAGAGGAGAUGGUUGGACGUGCUGAAGGACUAUGACUGUGAGAUCCUGUAUCAUCCAGGGAAGGCCAACGUGGUGGCCGAUGCCCUGAGCCGCAAGGUGUCGGCGGCCCCUAUCAGGGAUUUGUGUAUGAGGAUGACGGUAAUCACUCCUUUGUUGGAGCGGAUCAAGGAGGCUCAGAUGGAGGGUCUCAAGGAGGAAAGGCAGAAGUGCGAGAGGAUAGUGGGUCGAGUAGCUUCGUUCGACUACGACAGCCGGGGUUUGAUGACGCUUCAUGGUAGGGUGUGGGUACCGUACUGGGGUGGGGUACGGCAGGUAUUGAUGGACGAGGCUCAUAAGUCUCGAUUUUCUAUCCAUCCAGGGGCGACGAAGAUGUAUCGAGAUCUUCGACCUGAUUAUUGGUGGCCCUGCAUGAAGCGGGACGUCGCUUGGUACGUUGAGAGGUGCCUGACCUGCCGGAAGGUCAAGGCGGAGCACCAGAGACCUCACGGCAAGAUGCAGCCGUUGGAUAUUCCCGUGUGGAAAUGGGAGGACAUCACCAUGGAUUUUAUCACCAAACUUCCCAGGACCGCACGUGGAGUAGAUUCGAUAUGGGUAGUGGUGGAUCGGUUGACGAAGAGUGCCCAUUUUAUUCCGAUCCAGGAGAGUAUAUCGGCGGAAAGGUUAGCCGAUAUCUAUGUGCGAGAGAUUGUGGCACGUCAUGGAGUGCCGGUAUCGGUAGUGUCGGACCGAGAUGUUCGCUUCACGUCCAGAUUCUGGAAGCGGUUUCACGACGAGAUGGGUACUCGUCUCCAUUUCAGCACCGCUUUUCAUCCUCAGACUGACGGGCAGAGCGAGAGGACGAUUCAGACUCUCGAGGACAUGCUUAGGGCAUGCGUUCUGGAUUUUGGGGGCUGUUGGGAUACGUAUCUUCCCUUAGCGGAAUUCUCGUAUAACAACAGCUAUCAUGCGAGCAUUGAUCGACCUCCUUUUGAGAUGUUAUAUGGCAGGAAGUGCAGGACCCCGAUUUGUUGGGGCGAGGUCGGUCAGCGGGUUAUGGGGAGCACUGAAGUGGUGCUCAAGACGACGGAACUGAUCCAGCAGGUCCGUAGUAGACUGCAGACUGCGCAGAGUCGGCAGAAGAGCUACGCCGACAAGAGGCGUUCAGACUUGGAGUUCCAGGUAGGAGACAUGGUUCUUCUGAAAGUCUCACCUUGGAAAGGUGUCAUCAGGUUCCGGAAGAGGGGCAAAUUGGGCCCCAGAUUUAUUGGUCCUUUCAGGGUUUUGGCCCGGGUGGGUCGGGUUGCUUACCGGUUAGAUCUUCCUGAGGAGCUCAGUUUGAUACACAACACCUUCCACGUGUCGCAGUUGAGGAAGUGUCUAGUGGACGAGACAGCGGUCGUUCCCUUGGAGGAUAUCCAGGUCGAUAGCGGCUUGAAUUAUAUCGAGAAGCCGAUAGCAAUUUUGGAACGGAAGACCAAGACCUUGAGGAACAAGGUAAUUCAGCUGGUAAAGGUGCAGUGGCAGCAUCGGAAGGGGUCUGAGUGGACAUGGGAGGCUGAAGAAGAAAUGAGAACGCACUACCCGGAGUUAUUCGCAGAUCCAGCCGUAGCAGACUUCGAGGACGAAGUCUGAAACAAGUGGGGGAGAAUUGUAACGACCCGUUUCCGGUAUGUUAAUUAAUUUGAUUUGGGCUAAGUUUUCAAGAGGGACUCGGCGAGUUCUAGCCUGACUCGCCGAGUCAGGUCGCGCAUCUUGUGCACGCGGGAGCCGGCGACUCGGCGAGUCCAUAUCCUGGACUCGGCGAGUCCGUCCGUCUGGGUGAAACCCUAACUCCCCGGGUUUGCUCACUAUUUAAACCCCAUUAUAGCCUCCAUCUCGUCACUUUCCCCCUGAGAGCACUGUGAGAAACCCUAAACCUUCCUCUUGUGAGCUUAUAAGUGAUCUUGUUCCAUUUUGUGAAGGGGUGAAGAAGGAGAAGAAGAAGGAAGCAAGGAAACGAGUUCUAGUGCCAAGAUCCAAGAUCAAGUGUGAACUUAUUGAGGUAUUUUCGGAGUUCUCUUCUGGUUUCAUGCUUAAACUUCCAUUAGAGCUCUUUUAAGGGCUAUUUGAUGCUUGUUCCAAGCUUUAUGCUUGCUUGAUUGUGUUAUUGAGCCGAAAUACCUUUGGAUCUGAGUGUUGGGGUGUUGAAGAGUCCAGAUCCACUGUCUUUUUGGGGUUACAUUGCUUAUUAGCCAUGGAUCUACCCUUAUUGUGCAUAUUUUAGUCUUAUUUCCCUCAUUCAUGUAGUUGUGCACGUAAAGUUGGAAACUUUACGUGGUAAAACAGCUUAAUGGACCUAGAUCUAUCAUUUGCAUGUGUUGGAUUCAAGAGAAAUCGAGUAAAAAUAUGUUGCAUGGCGGCGACUCGGCGAGUCGGAGGAACGACUCGACGAGUCAGGUCGCGAGUCCCGAGUUCUUCAGUUUCUUCAGUGUCGAGUGUACGAGGUGAGUUAGGGAGUGGACUCAGCGAGUUAAGAGUAGACUCAGUAAUGGAGGGACUCGGCGAGUUUGUUCAUACAACUCGGCGAGUCCAAGGCAAUCUCCUUGAGGAUUAAGAACAACUCGUCGAGUCUGUUCAUCUGACUCGGCGAGUCGGAUGAAGAUCAUCUGAGUUCUUGGAUCCAGAGGGUACCCGUCGAGUCGAUGCCACACUCGACGAGUAACAGCAUGUAAGAGUUGAACGGGGAAUCUAGGACUCGGCGAGUCGGGUAUCCCGACUCGGCGAGUCAGCCCUGAGUAAGUCAACUUUGACCAAGGGUAAAAGAGUCAUUUUACCCUGAGUGUAGUGCUAGUGAUUGAUUGAGUGUGUUUAUGGAUUUGUAGCCGAGGAGAUUCAGGAGCAGCAGCCGUUAGCUUUCCGAGCCGCACUCUCAUCCGCUAGCUUACGAGGUGAGUUUCCUUUCCGUAGGGGCGGGUCUAAGGCCACAAUGCCGGCCCGUCCAGUUAAUAGUAGUUUCCGGACUUCGGUCCGAUGUAGUAGUUCGUAUUUUGAUGCCUUCGUGGUUCAGACAUGUUUUAUGUGCUAUGUGUAUGUGUUUAUGUUCCGGGCCACGGCCCGAUGCAGUAUGCAGUAUAAAUGGUUAUGAUAUGCUAUGCUAUGUGCAGUCAGUCCCGGACCUCGGUCCGAUGCAGGGGACACGGUCCCAGUCAGUUCCGGACUUCGGUCCGAUGCAGUCAGUUCCGGACUUCGGUCCGAUGCAGUCAGUUCCGGACUUCGGUCCGAUGCAGUCAGUUCCGGACUUCGGUCCGAUGCAGGGGACAAGGUCCCAGUCAGUUCCGGACUUUGGUCCGAUGCAGUUUUCGGGCUUCGGCCCGAUGCAGUGGGCAAGGCCCAAUAUGUGUUUAUGUGUUAUUGUAUGGUAUGUGGUAGUUUGGGGGAGCUCACUAAGCUUCGUGCUUACAGUUUCAGUUUUGGUUUCAGGUACUUCCGCAAGCAAAGGGAAGAGCUCUGGAUGACGGCAUCGCACACACCACCGUUUCAGCUUUAGUUUGGAUUGAUUUAGUUAUUGUUUUGGAUAUAGCAUGUUACAUUUUCCGCACAGUACUUUAUUAUCUUUUGGGACAUAUCACGCAUGGUUUAUCUAUAUGAUACUCUGAUUAUAGUUUUGAUGGUAUUAAAAACGAAAUUUUUGGGUCAUAUUUUUGGGUCGUUUCAAAAUCUGUGAAUUUCCUUUGAAGAGAUGGACUUGGAGCUUGAAGCUGUUGAGAGUGUUAUUGGGAGUUUACUGAAUGUGAAUGAGAGAAGUGGGACUUGGAGAGGAAAGGAGUUCACGUAUCUAAAGAGAAGGAUAAGGGUGACUUGACAUUUGCAUGGAAAGCUGGUGGGUAAAGCUUAUUUUCUUAUGGAUAAUGUGUGUUUAUUUGGGGUUUGCAUGAGAAAUUUAUUUGGGAUUUGCAUGGGAAAUGAGGAAUUAACAUCACAUCAUAAAGUCAAACCCCUUUAUCCUCUAAAAAUCUCUUUAAAAUCUUGUGUAUUAUUUUAUAUAAAUAUGUUUAACAUAAUUGAUUUUGGCAUAAAAUAGGGGUUUAAGGGAUCUAAGAUAUGAAAAAUAUGAGUUUGGUGCGAUUUCCGACGGCAAAAUGCCUUAAAAUGAUGAAAUGGUCUGGAAAUGGCACAAAUCUGAAGUCAAAAGGCGAGGUCCGAAGUCAGGAUGCAAUUUCCGGAGUCAUUCAUUACAUUCCGGAGCAAGAGAGUGUAAUUCCGAAGCCGCUUGCUCAGUUUCGGAGGGCUCUUCUCGGAUUCCGAAGUCAGGAGACGGGUCGGUGGUCCGGAUCGACCAAGUGUUUCCGAACCGAAGCGGGGCGAGGCUAGAUCUCCCGGAGCCAAGAAGGUGCUGAGAUGCGAAAUUGUCCGGAUCAGGAUGCUUCCUAUAUGCGAGGUCCGAAGCAAGGCUUCACCCUUCCGGAGCAGGUGAGAUCCGAAACAAGGAGGGGAGUUCCGAAAAUGUGCUUCCUCUUGGCUUCUCAGAAGGAAUUCCGGACAAGAGGUUUAGGACCUAUAGGGUUCCGGACCAAGAGGGUCAUUUUGGGUUUUCUCCUCCGGUUUUGGGUUGUUUUCGACUAGGAAGGUACGUAGAGAGAUUUGGGAGAGAUUCCACAUACUUGGAGAGAUUUGGGAGAGAUUUCAUAUUCUUAGAGAGAUUUGGGAGAGAUUUCACAUAACUGGAGAGAUUUGGGAGAGAUUCCACAUACUUGGAGAGAUUUAGGAGAGAUUUCACAUACUUUGAGAGAUUUCAUAUUCUUGGAGAGAUUUCAUACUCUUGGAGAGAUUUCAUACUCUUGGAGAGAUUUGAGAGAGAUUUCACAUACUUGGAGAGAUUUGGGAGAGAUUUCACUUACUUGGAGAGAUUUCAUAUUCUUGGAGAUAUUUGGGAGAGAUUUCACAUACUUGGAGAGAUUUGGGAGAGAUUUCAUAUACUUGGAGAAAUUUGAGAGAGAGUAAGAUAUCUUGGGAGAGAUUAAGAGAGACUUUGUCAGGAGUCCUUAUUAAUGUUUUUCUUCGAAGAGCAAGGUCUUUAGACUUAGUUACAUCCCAUUUUGAGUGCCAUACACCCUCGUAGAGUAUUUAUUAGUACUUUAUAGAAUUGAUACUUCCCUAAAUCAGAUUAGGGUUUUAACAUUUGAACAUUUGGGACUUUCAAGUGUUACUUUGCAUUAGGAUUUAUAGUUGUACAUUUGUAAACAUAAAGAAAUCCCUAACAUAUAACACUAGUUGAGUUGACCAGAUUGACUUGUUGACCUUGACUUGACUUUGACUUGACCUGAAGCUUGCCGAUUAUCACACAUAGACAUAAUGCAGGAUAUCACAAUACUCAAUAUAAGCACAUAAGAUCCUCCGGUCACACAAAAUUACCACUUAAGGUAAGUAUAGUGAGAAUAAUCGCCUCGUAAGAAAACGGAUAACCUCGAACUCAAAUCACCGGUUUAGCCUCCACCUAACACAUACGAUAAUUAUUUCUAAUUAAUAACGGCUCUCAAAGAAGCUAGACUAACCUUUAUACAAACUCACAUAAUGAUAAAAGACAAUUUUACCCUUCCAUUGCCGUAAUAGUCCACAAAUUGAUCAAACCCUAAAAGUCAAUUAAAGUCAACGGCAGCGCGUACGUUGCGCGUACCAGCCCUCUACGUUGAGCGUACUCCAUCGCCAUGCAUGCAUCGGGGAUUCUCAACCCUACACUGCACGUACUGGGAUUACGCUCAACGCACGUCCCAAUUUUGCUCUUCCUACUCAUUUGGUCUUAAUCCGUUAAGACCUUAGCUCAAAUAUCAGAUCUGGACUCCUUAAAGGCUCAUACUCCAUAAAGUUUGUGACUUUAAGCCUUUGCAUGGCUGAUAAAGUCACAAACACCAAAAGUGUCACUCUUUAUUCUCAAGAAUGCUCAUAUCUGAUGCAUGGGUUGGUUUAAACGUCCAAGUCUCGAUUUUUAUGAUUCUACACCACUAAAAACACUCAAAGGAGCUGAUAAUAAUCUUUGGAGUUCAAUAUCUCAUAAAGCAUCCAACUUUGGGACCAAAACCUCAGAAUGAACUAAAAUGAUGCACAAAUCAAAAGGUUGAGAAAGCUUUGAGCUUUAUACCUCUAUCUGACACUCCAACCACACAUAAGCUCAAAUCUAAAGUCUGGACUCCCACUCCUUCCUCUUUAAAGCUCCUUCUUCACUCCAAAGAAACCACAAGAACACUUAAUAGCUUACAAAUGGACACACAAGCUUAAGGGAUGAGAAAUUAGGGUUUGUGAGGGUUGAUGUCUGGGAAUGGUGGCCAAAAAUGAGGCCAUCAUAUCCUUUAAAUAGGGACACACCCUAAAUUAGGGUUUUCACUCUGGGCCUACUACGCCCAACGUACUAGGUGACUUCCGCGUAAAAAACACGCACAUGAGUACGCUGAGCGUACACACGCGUACGCCCCGCGUACUCAUUUACCACCUUUUCUCAAAUAAAGGGCCAAACUUGACAAUUACCAAAAGAACAUGGGUUGAUGAUGUAACAUCCCUAAAAUUCAUGACCAAAAAUUUCAUUUUUAAAUAAGUUAAUAUAAAACCAUAAGUAAUAAAACUUCCAUAAUAACAUGUCAUGUCAAAACCAAAGUAGAAAUAAUAAAAACAUGUUAUCAUAAAACAAUAUCAGAGUGUAAUCCCAAAGAUCUCGUGUGUGGAAAACCAUAGUGUGAUGCGCUGCGAUCGAGCCGACUCCUUUCCUUUGAAAACGAAGUACCUGAAACCAAAACUGAAAACCGUAAGCACAAAGCUUAGUGAGUUCCCCCAUCCUACCACAUACUAUACAAAUCACAUACUGUCAGGCAUACUAGGGUGCUCGACCUACCCCAUGUCAGGCAUAUCUGGGUGCCUGACCUACCCUGCUGAGCACACCGGGGUGCUUAACCUACCUAUGUUAGGCAUACCUGGGUGCCUAACCUACCCCUGUCAGACAUAUCUGGGUGCCCAACCUACCCCUUCUGUCCUGCCGACCGAUAACCGGGGACUAUUUCACCCCUACUACUACCACAUAGUAUAAUAUCACAUAUAUCAUAAUUUGUCUAGCAUAGUUGGGUACUAAAGUACCCCUUCGGCCCUAUCGACCGGUAACCAGGGACUAGUCCUCCUACUACCACUAUCACAUAACAUCAUAUCAUGCUAGCACAUAAAACAUAUUAGACAGUGGCUAACCAGAUAAUUAUCACAAAGACAAUUAUCUAACAAACAACUCCUACUAGUGGGCCGACAUUGUGGCCUUAGAACCACUUCUACUGGAAGGCACCUCACCUCACACUACUGAAGUCCCGCAUACAUAACCCCAGCUGCUGGAUGACAGGUUCCCGAACUGUCAAUAUCAAAACAUCACCCAAUUAGGUUCCAACACAUAACCAUAAGCCCAUGCUUGGGGUAAAAGACUACUUUACCCCUCUCUUAACUUGAUUGAAGCCCAAGGCCCAAUCCAAAUGCCCAAAAGUCAACUAUGAGUCAAAGCCCAACAUAUGGCCCAAUUUUCCAAAUUGGCCCCAAACCUUUACAUGGUCUUAUUCUAAGGCCCAACCAUUUAUUUUAGUCUAAACAUGUGGCAUUACAAUGGUCCAAUAUCUCAAAAUCAUCAAGGCCCAAUUAUGGCCCACCUAUGGCCCAAUUUUCCAAAUUAGGCCCAACCCCUCAUAUGGGCCUUACCCUAAAGCCCAUUAAAUUAUUCUAGUCCAUAUGAUUGUUCUUGGAUGUUCCAUAAAUAUCCCAAUCACUAAAGCCCAAUAGAAAGGCCGAACUCAAGGCCUAAGUGAAAUUAGGGUUUUCACAUAAAAUAACGAUUAGGGUUAAGUGUUUCUCACUUAAACCAUUAAGGACUUAAUCCAUUAAGUCCAUCACUCUAUUAGAUAAAUCAUAUGGUGUAAUUGGGCUUAAUACAUAGUCCAAUUCUAAUGGCCCAAAAUGCAGGUCCUGAUAAGUCCAAGCCCAUGAUUCCAAAAUAAGGGUUUUCUAAACCCUAAUUAGGGUUUCCCACCCAAUCAUAGCCCAAUAGGCCCAAAACUAAAUCUUUAAGCCCAUUAGGGUUUCAUUAGGUCAAUUACGGUUUUGCUAGUCUGGCACCACCCACUACCACCUCGGGUAGUGGUGGUCAACGGCGGCUCACGGCGGCGGCCACCAACUCACGGUGGUGGUUAGGGUUUCUAUUCCAUUUUGUCCAAACAUCCAAGAAAAAUCAACUACAUGCAAGCAAAAGCACACCGCCACCCAACACGACGGUUGGUGGCGGCAAAAGGCGGCAACCACCACUUUAUGGUGGUGGUUUUGAGUAUUCCUUGGUUAUUCUGUUACAGAUUACAUCAUAUAAAGCAAAAUACCAAUAACACACACACACACCCACUAAGCUAAACACACACACACACAACCACCCUCGUGGUGGCCGACGGUGGUAAAUAGUGGCAGCAGCGGCAAUCACCGGUGGUUUUCGAUGACAACCACCAUUUUACGGUGGUGGCGAGUUUCGAUGAGUCCCUACCCAGCAACAUACGUCCAUAGAACCCUAGCCGUCACGAGCUCCAUGUUGAGAUGCACUCCAAUCUCAGCCACUUCUCGUGGUGGCGCAAAGCAACCGGGAAGGAGCACCAGCCGCCCGGGAUGAUCAACGACAAUCGUGCAGUAGCAGAAGAAGGCGAAGAGGUGCGAUGCAAUUCUACCGGUCGUUGGGAGCAGCGACAAUAGGAGGAAAGAAGAAGAUGACACCCUUUCUUGGUUCUCGUCGGUAGCUGGACGGCGACAUGCUGGAGGGUGGCUCUUGUCAACGGCAUGGACGUUGGUGGCCACUCAGAUCUUCGUCUGGCUGUAAAACAUGAAGGAAUCAGGUGGCGGCUGGAGGAGAACACGAGGAUGGUGAAGUUGACGGUAGGGAAUAGUAUCCCUAGGGUUAGGGUUUGUUCGUCCAAACAUGGGAGGGAAAGGAUGCACCGGGUUUAAAUCUCGUAUCCCAUCCAAACUUCCUACAAAUUUGACACAACAAGUCCCUCCUAACCAUAUAUUUUUCAAACUAAGCCCAAAAUUUUACCAAACAGCCCCAUCCUCUAAAAUCUUUACAAUUCAGCUCCCUAUGUUACCCCUUUAGCCCCCAAUAUCUUAAUUAUGACAUAUUCAGCCCUUACACCUCUUUUCCUUUCAUAAUAAGUCCUAGUAACUACUAAGCAACCAUUAUCUUCAAAAAUCCUUUCAAAUUAAACCCAUAAUUUACUAAACAAUCCUUGACCUUCAAAAUUCUUUACAAUUUAAUCCAAAAAUUACAUUUUAACCCCCGACUUCUAUAAUUGUGCUAGUUAACUCCUCGAAACCAACACCCUGCUACAUAAUUAAUGAUUUUAGGGCUACUAUACAUUCAUUAAUUUAUUUAAUAAAUAGGGUGUUACAAAUGAGGUAUACCUGAUCUAAGGAUGUUACACGCACACACACAUAAAAGUUUCUAAUUUGGAACAUGUGUGUGUGUAUGUGAAAUGAGGGUAUCAAAGUUUAAGCGAAUAUGUGUUUUGUGGUCUAGCCAAGGCAAGACUAGCUGCUACAAAGAUUUUACUACUGUCCUUGGUAAAUUGAGGUACAAGUUUAACAUGAGCGUGUUGAGGUGCAUGAUUCAACAGAAAAUGAGUAUUAACGAGAAAGGUUGUCCCAUAAAUUUAAGUAUACCCGAUUAUUAUUAUUACAUAUGUUUGGUUGUUAUCCCAAUACUUAGACUAAUCUUGAAAUCAAAAGAAAAUAUACAAUAAUUUUGUAUGAAUUUCAUUUUGCAAUCAUAGAGUAAUCUAUCUUCCAAUAAAAGCUUUUCAGACAAAUUUCUGAAGUUUUGUUAGUUUUUUUUUCAUUAUAUAGAUACUUUUUCUAAAUUUCAUGGCUUUAAAACUGAAUAUAUAAUGUUAUCUUAAAAAAACGAAAAAAAAACACUCAUUGAAAAAACAAACCAUUUUUAAUAUAUUAAUAAAAGGGUUAUUCCAAAGUUUUAGCCGAAUUAACGAAAAAGUCUCAAUAUUUUGACGAGUUAACGAAAAAAGCCUUAAUACUGGCUAAAUCUACGAAACCAACCACAAAAGGUUAUUCGGAAGUUUUAGCUGGUAUUUUUUCCUUUUUGUAAACAAAAUAUAAUUUGGGAUUAAACCGUAAACUAGUCUAUAAUUUUGGAACUUUAUUUGAGAUUUCCCUUAUAUAAACGAUAAUAUAUCUAAAAAAUAUUGCAAUAAAACAUAGAUUACUCUUUCAUAACAUUAAAUUUAAAGUUUUAAAUAAGAUAAACAUUGGCAUUUUACAGUUUACAUGUUAGCAUAUGUAUUAGCAUAUAGUCCAAGUGAAUCAUCCAAGUCUACUAAAAGGUUAACAUAUGGGAUAAAGAGACUAACCCCACCGUCCAUGAUAGCUCGGGUCGGUCGUAUGAGACCAAAAGCCGUCGCCGUUCAAACCCAUUAACCCGUUUGACGGGUCUUCUCCCAACCCGUUUUCCACGAACCCCCUUUUUCAAAAUCCAUUAUGUAUAUUAAACUUCCUAAAUCGAAGAAGCAAAAACAAUAAUUAACCAUAUUACUUCCAUCUGGAUGGGCCAAUCUUCUUCCUCCCACUCGCCGUCGCCGGCGGGAUCAACCCACCACCACCAGCGGUCCAUCACUAGGUCAUCGUCUUCUUACUCUGCCCGAUCGGAGAUUCUUGGUUUUAGGUACUCGAAAGAGGAGGCGUGUUUCGAUUUCCCGGAUGCAACCACUUCUUUUAUCGACUAUACAUCUGAAAUUCCCGAUGAUUGUUUAGCCGUAGUUUUCCAGUUUCUUAGUGCCGGCGACCGGAAGCGUUGUUCCCUUGUAUCGCGAAGAUGGCUGCUCGUCGAAGGCCAGAGUCGCAACCGCCUUGCUAUAGACGCUAAUUCGGGACUCGUUCCUUUUAUUCCGUCAAUUUUUUCUAGGUUUGAUUCUGUUACCAAACUCUCGCUCCGAUGUGAUCGUAGAUCUGUUAGUAUUGACGACAACGGAUUGAUUAUGAUAUCUCUCCGGUGCCUUAACCUAACGCGGCUGAAGCUGCGUGGAUGCCGUGAAAUUACCGAUGUAGGUAUGGCGGCGUUAGCUGAGAACUGUAAGGGAUUGAAGAAAUUCUCUUGUGGAUCUUGUAUGUUUGGUGCUAAAGGAAUGAAUGCGCUCCUCGAUAAAUGUUCAUCUCUUGAAGAACUCUCGGUGAAGCGUUUACGCGGCAUCAACGACGGUGUAACGGCGGAGCCGAUUGGUCCUGGUGCCGCUGCUAAGUCGCUCAAAACCGUAUGUCUCAAGGAGCUUUACAACGGCCAGUUUUUUGGCCCGUUGAUUAGCGGUGCUAAGAAUCUCAAAACCUUGAAACUGCUCCGAUGCUUAGGCGACUGGGAUAGCUUGAUGGAAAUGAUCGCUGUUCCAGAAAAUUCUCUUGUUGAAGUUCAUCUCGAGAGGCUUCAGGUGAGCGAUAUCGGUCUCUCGGCGUUAUCAAACUGUUCAAAACUCGAAA
rnacentral:lncRNA from 1 species